UAGUAGAGAUGGUAAAAAAUUUGACACUACUUGUGACUCUUCUGUUAGCAGGUUGUGAAGAGGUUUCUCUAGUCUUAUUAAAGAGAUCGGUUAAUUGAUGCAAAUCCUCAAUAACACUCAUUAGCUUGCAUGAACCUCACCAAAUUUGGAUUGCAGGUCAAUGAAAUUUGAACCAGCACUUUUUCCCAUGUGAAGGUCAAUCCAAACUUGAUCCUGGCCUUAGCUCAACCAAGUAUGAAAAUUCAAUUCUAGGGCUUUGCUUGUUUAGAGCACUAAAUUGAACAAGAAAAAUAUGGAAACAAUUCAGGAAACUCCCACCUUUCUGGUUUCAGAAUUCACAUCAGAAGGCAACCGCAGCCAAGCUGAGUAGAGCAAGGACUCAUGGACGGUAACAUGAGGAGAGUGGAUAUCAUUCUGCUCACAGUAUCCAGAAAUUCGAGCAAAAGUCUCUUGCUUCUUUGGGUAGCCAGAAAUGGUGAUCUUACCCUCAAUAUAUCCACCAGUUUUCCGACCAGCCAGUACAUCCAUGAGAGUGGUUUUACCAGCACCGCUAACACCCAUCAGAGCUGUAAGAACACCAGGCCUGAAAGCACCACUCACCCCCUUCAGAAGCUCCAGUCUGUCUUCAAGGGCACCCUGACUUUUCAUUUCCUGCAAGUUCAUUUCAAAUUACUCAGUUCUCAUUUUUGGUUUUAUAGUACAUUAUGAAGAAACAUAUGUCGUCAUUUAAAUAAAUAUGACGUUACCUCUGGCAUGUCAACGGAGUAUCUAAUAUCAUCAAAGGUGAUAGAAUGUGGUUGGAAUGGAAGAACCAUUCCUUUCUUCUUAUUAUGUUUAGCCUCAGCAAUGGCUUCUACCAUUUCCUCUCCCCUCUCUGCAUUUCAAGUUUAAAUUCAAUGAGCCAUAUAAAACAUGUAGUUAAAUGACAAGAACUGAGUCGCACAAUGGCAUGCAUGCAUGCACCAUGUUUGAGUUUCAUCACCUGUGGUUGCAGUUUUGGCAUUGUCAGACUCUUCUGUUAUAACAGCUUGAUGAUUCUCAAAUGCUGCGCAAUUUGCAACAUGUUAGUACACUAAGCUCAUAUUUUUAGGAGUUUCAAUGCAGAGAAGGUAGAGACACCCACGAUUUAGGUAAUUGAGGCACAGAGUGUAAAAGAAGUUGAACACAAAUAUGAAUCCAAGCAGUGCCCCAGCUCCUAUCCAGUACCAGUGUGCGUCUGUGGAGAACCCACGAGACUUCAAUACUGUAACUCCAAGGGAUUCUGUUGAAUCGGUAACAUUCUGAAAAAGGGAAAUACAUACAAUCAUCAGUUACUGACACACAUAAAUAAACACAGAUAUUCACAUGGAACAUUCAAGAACUUACUUUGCUCCAACUCUUCCCAAGGAAUUCAUUUACCACUAUUGCAUUCUGUGCAUACAUCAGAGGGGAAGACCAGUAACCCCAAAUCCACCAUUUCUUGACAUUAUCUGCAGCAUUGACCAAAUAAAAAAGGAAACAAAAAUUCAUUAUUAGGGGUUAUGCGCAAGAAGGUUCUAUGCUUCCUAAAAGAAUAUUUCCUCAUCAUACCAUGUGACAGGAUAAAACCACCCGAUGCCAAGAGCAUAAGUAAAGCAAAUGCCCCAAAUGUGUUUGCAACAAUCAUGUUUCUACCAGCUGCUGCUAUAAAUCGAAAUAAUCCAGAUGCCAUCUGAUUAACAAGCAAGAGGAGAAGAUACUGUCUAAACAACCUGCAAUAAGGAGAUUUGUUUAUUCAGCAUUAAUCAUUUUGGAACAGAGAAAACAUGUAAAAGAAAUCUGGAUAAGUUUCUGCAACUUCAUAACUUUUUCACUUUUACCUUUCCACAUUUGGAUCAAAUCCAAUGACAUAGUAAGUGAUGAACACCCAAACAGCAACUUCAACAAAUGUGAUGGGGAUCUUGAGCACCCAUGAUGGAAGAGCAUAUGCCCAUGCAGGAUAGAAGAGUAGGUCUCUUUGCUUGUAAAAUACGGGAAGUUUUGCAAUUGCCAUGGCAAGUUCUGCCAUUCCAUUAAACAUGAUCAUGACAACAGUGAAGAACAAAGCACCGGUGUAAAUGCUUCCGUCAUCUGUUGAAUUUUUGUGCAUCUCAGUUCUUAGGAAGAGUGUCAUUGCAAUCACUGCCAUUACUGCAAGCUAAAAACAGAAAUAGAAAUAAUAAAAUUACGAUCACAUAUAGAAAAUUAAAAGCCAUUGUUACAAGUAACAAUAAUAAUAAUAAUAAUACUCACUUGGGUGAGCUUGAAAAUAUAGACAAAUGAGUUCCUCUUCAUCAGCAAGUACUCUCUUGACAUGUUGGCAUCCAACAGUACCUUCUUUCUAACACCAUACUUCUUUGUUGUCAAAGCAGCUGGGUGGCUUUUGGCCUUGUCAAAUGGUGAUGCCAGCUCAUCUGCUACUUUCCGUCCAAUGUGAAAUGACUGGAAUGCCUCAGCAAAUUCCUUGACCGUGACAAAACUGUAAGGCUCUUCUUUACGUGCCCAAUACUGGGCCUGAUCUUUCCUAGAUGUUACCUGCAAUGAAGUUUAAAGUUAUGUUCUAGCUCAAUUUUUUUUCUUAAAAAAAAUUUAAAAAAAAAAAGAGAGAUGAAGAUAGAAGAUGCCAAAAGCUACAAAGCUAGAUUUGCACUCACUUCUUGCAGAAAGUCUGCCACACCCUUCCUUGCAGGACAUUUGAAGCCCAUGGAUUCAAAAAAUUCAAGCACAUCUUCACGAGGACCCUGAUAAACAAUCUGACUAUCAGAGAGGAGAAUGAUGUCAUCAAAAAGAUUGUAAGUCUCAGGUGCUGGCUGGAGGAGAGAGAUGACAGCAGUCCCGUUGAGAAUGUGGAUGGUUUGCUUGAGAGAAUUGACAAUUUGAUAAGUUGUUGAGCUGUCCAAGCCAGUAGAGAUCUCAUCCAUGAACAGUGCCUUUGAUGGUCCUACCAGCAUCUCACCUAUCAUUCAUACAUUUCACAUAAUUGAAUUAAAUUAAAUUAAUGAACAAAAAAAAAUCUAAUUGAUUUGUUUUUUCAUUUAGUUGGAAACCAAAUUAUCCUGCCUGUUGUGACACGCUUCCUUUGUCCUCCAGAGAUACCCCUUAUCAUCUCAUCUCCUACCAUGGUAUCUGCACAGAUGUCUAGUCCCAGAAUCUGUAGAUUUAAAUGUAAAAAAAAAAAAAAAAAAUUAUGAAUUAGAAUUGGGUUUUCUCACAAAUCUAUAAGCUAUCAUUGAAAGUUUCAUGGUUAUAAUACCUUCAAUGUAUAAUCAGUGACAACAUUUUCCUUCUGACCUUCUGUUGCUGCUGCCUGAAAUAUUGGAAUCCAAUGAUGAAAAUGUCAACCACCAUGCAAGCAACUUCAGUACAUUAAGAAAUUUCAUAGAUAAAAGAUUCUGACAUAGCAUAAAAUUCACAAAUUAGAUUGAUUCAAGCCAUUCAUUUGAGUAAAAAAAGAAAGAAACAAACUCCAGAACAGACAGAACACCGACAAUACAAAGCCAUUUUGCCUAUCUAUGUCAGAAUUCAAAAUUUAAUUUAUGGAAAAGAGUAGUAUCCAUGUUCACUGAAAGCAAAUAGCUCAAUUUUCUGCAGAACUGAUUAAAAUUUCACUAAAAGUAGAUUCUGUCUUACCUUCAUGAGACAUCAAGAUCAGGAUCAGGCUUAUUAUUUGCUGCUUUNNNNNNNNNNNNNNNNNNNNNNNNNNNNNNNNNNNNNNNNNNNNNNNNNNNNNNNNNNNNNNNNNNNNNNNNNNNNNNNNNNNNNNNNNNNNNNNNNNNNACAUCAAGAUCAGGAUCAGGCUUAAUAUUUGCUGCUUUCUCUCUUCUUGACAGCUCUGCUAACAUGUCUGAGGAUGGCAAAAGUAAGAGUCAAUCUCCUAGGCUAUGCAAAUGUCAUAUAACCACAUUCACAACCUGCAAAAAGCAGAGAAAUAAAAAGCAAAGGCAAUGGUUUAGACUAACCAUAUCGAUCUCCAACACCCUGGCAUCUUGCAGAGAAUGCCAAGGUUUCCCUUACAGUCAUUUCUCCUAUAUGGGUAUCAUGUUGGCUGAUAUAAGCUGCAGUUCUCUGGGGUACAAACUCAUUCAUGCUGUGACCGUUGUAUGUCACCCUUCCCGUAACCUAAAGAAGGAAUUUCAGUUUUUAAGUUGGAUAUGAGAUUAAAGAAAUAAAAAAUCAAACAUUCGAUAGAGAAUCGGGGAGUGAUAAUCAUUUUCUUUCAACCUUUAGAUUGGGAUCAAGCUUUCCAGCCAAUGCCAAUAAGAGGGUGGUCUUUCCAGAACUUGGAGGACCUAAAAGCAACGUCAUUCUGCAGAAGAAAAAUAUGCACAAAAAUCAUGAUCAUGGAUCUUCAGGACAUUCUAAAUUUGGAGAACGAAAAAUUCAUUUGAGUUAUCAAUCCAUUUUUAAUUACUAGAAACAAAUUCAUGCUCACCUGCGAGGUUUGAUGAUUCCACUAACAUCAUUGAGAAUAGUGCAUUUCUUCUUUUUACUUGGAAGAAUGUGGACAGCGUUCAGGAUGCCCUUUGGAAAAGAAGGGAAAAUUAGAAUCUAAAAACAAACUUACCUAAAAGAAUACUAAGUACAUAGCUAAUGAUCAGCAUUUGCAUGUAGUUACCUCAAGUUUAUUAAAAAUGAAAUUAUGGAAUGAAGGCAAAGCUCUGCUUCCUACAAAAGCUUCUGCAUCGAUGGUAAGAUGCUCAAAUCUAACUUCAAUUUCGGGAACAUCAACUCCAACUCUGAAAAAUGGAAGAGACAUGAAAACCCAUUAUCAAAAAUUCAAAGGAAGAUGUUGGAUGCGGAGAAAUGUGGGAAACGCCUAUGAGGCAUAUUUCAGGUAAAAUUUUCAAUGUUCAAAAACAAUUGGCAAGGAAUGCAAGAGAGGAGGAGAAAUCUCACCUAUCGAUACGAUUCUUAAGCUUCAACAAGAAUUUCUCAUUGUCCUCUUCGGCAAUUUUUACCAACCUCUCCACUAAAUUCUUCUUUUCCUGAAACCCAAGGUUAUGUAUAUCAAUUUCACUGGCCUCACCCUCUGAUCCCAUCAGCAAACCUUUCCUCAACCGAUUGUAGGUGGGAAGUUUCUCGAGUGCGGCCCAUUUCAAAGCUUCCUCAUCAUCCUCAUCCCUCGAAGAUUGAGAGAAAACAUCCGCACCCGAGUUCCUCCAUAUCGAAGAACCGUUCCUCCGAAAACUACCACUGGCUCUAUAAAUGUCAGCAGUGGCCAUUGCAACCUGAAACGAAAAACCCUCCUGGAAGACCAACCAAAACCCACAAAAACCCAGAACCGUUUCCUCCAAAGUUUGGGAGAGAAGCUCAAAAAUCAGAGAUGCGUCUCCUCCCUCUCUCUUCUCUGCAUAAAAGUACCUUUGUAUUGCUAAUAUUUGAUGCCUAUAGAGUGGAGGGUUUAUAUAGUGAUGGGUAGAGCAGAAAAUGGGGUGGCUUUCAAGUUUUCAAACUUCUUGAUUUCCCGUGACUCUAUUAAAAAAUAAGCGGACAAUUUGAAUAUAUAAGAGGCUGCGCAAUGACCCCAUGAUAUAACGAACAAGGAGAUGCCACCAUUUUUUACCUGUCAAAUUCUUAAAUAAAACACUUCCAGCGUCUCUCAAUAGGGAACGUGAUUUAUUACAAGCUGUCCAACCCGCUACAUCAACUAACUUUGUCUUUUCAACCGUUGGUCCGGGUUGGUUCCAGGUGGACCCAAAUCCGCCAAAACUACAAAUGUAAGUUAUGUUUUGUUUUGUAUUUUUUUAAAAAAAACUGUUGAGUACAUUUCCCCUCCAACUCUCCUACCCCCCACAAACUUGAGUUCUAAAAUUUAAAUAAAUGACUUUUUAUGUUUAGAUAUUAUAAAGAAAAGUUAAGGAAAAACUGCCACAUAUCGUGUCACAUUCUAUAACAAUAAUAGUAAGUUCCAACGGUCAAGUCAAUCAUGGGAAAUAGAAGGUGAAUUUUUUUGUGUGUGUACUUCCUUUAGAGAGGGUUGUUUCGAUUUCUCGUUUGUUGUUGGAUGGAAUUUUGUCAUAGAAACUGAGUUUUUUACAAUUGAAAUCCUUGCACUUGGGGAUUUGGCAUACUUUCAAAUAUCAUGUUUGAAAUCCUUGCACCAUUUUUGACCAUUUUCUUUUGAGUUUACCUUUUCUGGUGUCAGUAGACCAUUGCCUAUGUCAUUUUUCAAGUUUCUUUACGUUUGUGGAUUUUCGUUUUAGUUUCUUUUUUAAUAUGUAUGACAAAGUGGUUUAGAAAUGUAGAAGAUAGAUUAACUCGUGUUUCUAACAUGCAAUCCCUUCCACCUAACCACUUUAAUUACCACACCACCAGUAACACAACCAAUGGAAGAGACACAUGCUGAGUAUAGCCUUGCUCUAGGCCAAGACCAAAGGUUAGGCCAUGGAAGUGCUAAGAAUGAAGAUUCUGCAUACACAAUUUCAGACUUUGAGAGACUAUUUUCAAGCCACAAGGAUCAAUCCACCCUUUUGUAUUAUUUUACCAUAUAAUGUAGUUGGAAUACAAGUCAGACCCCAGAUGGUGCAAUUCUUACACCAAUAUUACGAGAUGGAGGGAGCCUAAUUGUAACACUGACCACUUAAAGCUAGAACUAUUUUCUUUCUCAUUGAAAGAAAAAGCUAAGCAUUAGGGAGACCUAGGAGUAUUAGUUCUUGGUAUGAGUUGCAAAUAGCUUUUCUAAACUGAUUCUUUCCUGCUCAAAAGGUCACAGUGCUAAAGAGGCAGAUUCUGAACUUUUGUUGUAAAGGAAAGAAAGUUUAUAUGAAUGUUGGGAUAGAUUCAAAGAGUUGUUGAUGAGAUGUCCUCACCACAGAUUUGAAAUAUCUUAGAUAUUAGUUUCUUCUUUUUAUGAGGGAACUUCUCUCCAGAUGAAGCGAACAAUAGAAAUUGUGGUGUAGGAACUUCAUGACUCAACAACCAAACCAGGAUUAAGAUUUUUGUAGUAUGUUGCUGAAAAAUCUAGAUCCUAGGACAUUCCAAUAUCCCAACUCCUUUCAGAUUCAGCACAGUAAGCCCCACCUCAAGUGGAGGAAUUUUAAAAUUCAAUACAGAAAAUAAUUUACAAGCGAAAAUGUUUGUGUUAACUAAGACACUUGAGGAGUUGAAAACAAAAAAAGGCAAAGGAAACUAGGACUAUCAAUGAGGUUUCUACCUCAUUUGAUAUGUGUGAAGGACCUCAAAAUAUAGAAAUACAACCUAAACCAGUGCACGUUGUAGGGCAGCUUAGAAGUCAAAAACUCAUCUAAUCUAGAUGUUUUUCUUGUUAAAAGUAUGUCUUUAGCUUCUGUUGCUAGGAUCUAGAGGCUUAGGAAGAAAAUAAUGCACCUAACCUAGUAUUGGGAUAGGGAAGAGAGAGAUCUAGUAUUCCUUAUGUACGUAAGGGCUCUCUUGUGCACCUUUCAGGUGUGUUGUACCAAAUUGUGCACCCACUUAGGCAACUUAAAUUGUGCACCUCUUAAGUCAUGUGUUGGAACAAAUUGCACACCCCUUCUCCAAAGCCACUAGAAUGCCCAAGCAACAUACCUCCUCAAGACUUGAAAUGUGUAACUCUUCCACUAAUAAUAAAGCGCACCCCUAGAGGUCAUUGAAACCCAUGCACUAGUCCUACGUUUGCAAAGGUUGAACACUAGAUAAUUCUUCCAAUGAUUGGUACACUCACCAAAGUAGUGCAUUCAUUCACACCUCAAGUCUUCAAUUAUACUACCAAAACUCACCCCAUGUUGAUUACAAAAAAAAAAAAAAAAGAGGUACAUGUACCAACCCUAAGGUAAUACAUCAAGGGUGAUGAUUAGUUAAUUGUACUUGCACAAACAAGUAUAGUGACAUUGGAAUAGGUGGAACAAGAGCUCAUUUUGCCCAUAAAAAGAGAACUAUGAAUAUACAAGUAGAUUUCUCUUACGAGUAGGAGUAACUUAAAGUGGUUUUAGCUUUUAGUUGGAAUUUUUCAUUUUUUCUUUUUUGGUAACCUACAUAUGGGAGGCCUCAACUUAGAUAACCUUUAGCACUCCAAGGGGUAAGAGGAGUUGAAGUCUCCCAUAUGUAGGGAAUCUCGGAUCACUUUGUUCCCUAUCUUAGGACUAGGUUAGGUGCAUGAUUUUCUUUCUAUUCCACUAGAUCCUAACAAUGGAAGCAAAAUACAUACUUUUUAACAAAAAAGAUAUAAAUUAAUGCAUUUGGGAAACUUUACCUUUGAUUUGGACAUUCCCAAAUUAAAUCCUUUUGGUAAAGAUGAAGUCUCUAAAGUCUCUAGAGAUCUUGUAUACCCACAUUAAUCUUCUAACCUUGAUCCUUGACAUACAAAUGAUGGGUUGUUUAGGAGGUUGGAAGCUAAGACUCUCUCUAUUUGGAUGGUGGAAGACUAAAAGUUAGAAACCCUAACCCCUAAGGAGGUAUUUAUAAGGUUCCCCACUAGGCUUAAAUGACUUAAGCCUAUUAAGGGCUUAAGUCAUUUAAUUUAACAUAAAAAAAGUCCUAAUUAAUUAAUUAAUCCAAUAGUAUUGUUCAACUAAUCAAUUAGCUCAAUCUAAAGAUGUUGUUCACCAACCCAUAUGCAACCUUGUGAAAUUACCAAAAUAUCCUUAUGCACAUAAAUGAAUAAAGAGCUAAUCCAAUCCUCAUAAAUCAUGUCAUUAAGGUACAUGAGCUCGAGUGGGGACCAUUAGGACUUAAAAGAUAGUAGUAACUCCCUAAGAAUCCAAUUCUAAAUUUUAUUUAAUAUCCCAUUACAAAAAAAUCAACUAUAAUCCAGUACUGUAUAUAAAUAACAAUGAAACACUAAGUACUCAUGUUCGUGUCCUACCAUCCAUUGCAUACAGUUUCCUCAUGAAUUGGUAUUUAUAGCCUAAUAAAGUGAAAACUAUCAACCUCUUAAGACUACCUCUAUCAUUCAAUUACAAAUCUUUUUAUUGUGUGAUCAAUUGACAUAUCCUAGCUCAUAAAAAGCUUAAGCUAAGUUCCACUUAAGGAACUACUAUGGUCAUAUAUAGUUUACCUGAACACACAUCCUUAUGAUCACUUAAAAUAACACAUUGUCUCAAAGUUCAUAAGAUAUAUAUCAUGGUGUCUAUCAAGAAAACCUAUUGCUACUGACUUCCAUCAAUAGUGACCCAAUCUAUAAGAAAUAUAUGAUCACUUUAAUAUAUCUUCUAUAAGUCAAAGCCAUUGCUAUUUUGGCAUAAGUUUAGUAUUCUCUCAAGGUUAAAAAAAUAACAUAAUAAAAUAGCUUGGUGAAGUUAUGACAACUUGAUAGCAUUAUGUCAUGACUCACCAUAGGUUCUAUCCAAUAUGUAACCAUACACACUAGUGCAAAACCUUAUCCUAAUGACUAAGACCAACUAUCCCUUCAAUUAGGAAGUAGUACACUACAAUCUCUAAUACGUUGUCUAAGUUUAUUAUGUGAUCAACUAACAUACUCUAACUCCAAGGAGCACAUGUCAAAUUCCACUAAAGCAAUUACUAUGGCCAUAAAUUUCAUGAUCACAUAUCCUUUGAAUCACUCAAGAUGACACAUUGUCUCAAUCCCAUGAGAUAUAAUGGUGUCUCUAUUGAGAAUACAUGUUGCCACCAAUCUCCUUCAAUAAUGACCCAAUCCAUGUAUAUAAUGACCACUUUAGGGUCUUACCCAUAGGUCAAAGCCUCUUGUUGAUUUGGCACAAACUCAAUAUCCUCUCAAGGUUAAAAGUCCAUAUAGUAUAGUAGCUUGGUGAAUCAUGAUAAUUGAUAGCCUUGUGUCAUAAUUCAUUAUAGAUCUUGUUCAAUAUGCAUCACAUACACUAGUGCACUCACCAUGAGAAACUCAUCCUUACGGCCAAGAUAAGUCAUCCCUUCAAUUAGGAGGUGGUACACUAUAGUCUCUAUUGGAUUGCCCAAAUCCAUGAACCAAUUGUGGACAACUUAUCUACUUAUAAGGAACCCAUGACUUGUAUCUUCUAUGCAACUCUUAAUGCACCCAAGUUAUGUACAAUGUAAGAGACAUGGGUUGAAUGCUCAAAUCAAUGUUAAUACACCAAAGCGAUAGCAAAUGGAUAAUUAAGUCUAACUUUGUUACAUCAUGGCUUGUUUUUAUGGGCUUAAUCCCAAUAGUUUUGACUUCUUAUUUACAGUAUUUAGUUUCUAUAAAAGAAAUAGGAAAUUUGCAAAUACAAAAUAUUUCUUAUUGUAGCGGUUAUAAACUAGAAAAAUUGUUCGUUUUACCUUUCAAUAGAAGUGUUUACUCUUCUUUUAUACCAUUUGAUUUAGUUCAUUUCCCAAUUUCUACAAAAGGAAAGUCUUGAUAUUAUGUUUCCUUCAUUGAUGAUUAUACUCGUUAUUAUUGUUUUUAUCUUAUGAAACAUUGUUCUUUUUUUUUUUUUAGUAUUCAUAAUGCCUUUUAAGACUUUGUAAAAACUCAACAUUUUAUUGUUAUCAAGUGCUUUGGGUGUGAUUUCAAUGGAAAGUACACUUCCAAUGUAUUUCAUGAAUUACUUGCUUCACAUGGAACUAUUCACCACACUUCUUAUCCUAGCACUAUAGAGUAGAAUGGUGUUGCUAAAAUGAAACAUAGACACAUUGUUGAAACUACUCAUUUGCUCUUAUUAUCUACAUGUGUUCUUACUAAACCUUUAGUUGCUCAUGAUUUGAAAAGUUGUAACGUUAUGCUCUUGAUUACUUUUCCUUAAGAGUCUUUGGUUGUACUUAAUUAUUUUCUCUUUAAUUAGUCCUCAUGUGGAGCAUACUAAGUUAUCUUCUCAUUAUGUCAUUUGUAUUCUUAUAGGGUAUAGAGCAUACUAAGUUAUCUUCUCAUUCUAUUAUUUGUACUCUUAAGUCAUAUCAUUGCUUUAGCUUUUAUUCAUAAUCUUUCUAAGCAUCUACCCUAUAAAGAAGUUUUUCUUAAUCAUCUUUGGCAAUUGGGUAUGACUAAGAAACUUUCUGUUUUACAUGAGAUUAACACUUAGGAUUUGGUACCUUUACCACUUGGUAAGGGUACAAUUUGUUUGUGUCAUGUCCAUAAAAUCAAAACUAAGUUUGUUGGUUCAAUUAAGUGGUACAAAGCCCGAUUAGUUGCUAAAGGGUUCUUUAAAUACUCAUAUUUUACUUUCCCUAUAUGUUGAUGACAUGAUUAUUACAAGUGAUGAUGUUUAUAGGAUUAUAAUUUUAAAAUUAUAUUUGGAUUUUGAUUGGAGCCAAAAUAUGUGCUCUAAUGACACAUAUUCAAUAUAAUUUGUGCACCAAAGGACACUCAAAUCACCCAACUUGACCUAAAUCAAUGGUAAGGUCUUAGCCAUGAGUUUAACUUAUAUUUUGGAUAUUUAUGUCAGAUUCAAGGAAAGAAAAUGGUGCAAGUUGAAUUACUUUAGAUUUUGAAAGACCAAGAAAGGGUUAAAUAAAAAGAUAAGUGAGUCAAAACUCAUGAACCAUGAGGAAAGUCAAGAAGAGGAUAUCGUGAGUUUGAAAGAUGAGAAAUGACCAUUAUGGAGGAAGAAAGAAGGUAAGAAAACAUGGGAAAUGAAGCAUGAAGCAAGAUUCAACUGCAUGGAAAUUUAGAACUCAAAAUCCGGUGGUAACAUAUACUCUAAAUUUAAGGACAAAUUUGGAGUAGUUACUGGAGUCCAUUUUAGACAUACUAUAUAUUUUUUAGAAUCUUGGGAAUUCAGGAGUCUAACGCUUCAAACAGUAUGCAAAUCAGAGUUGAAAUGAAGAAGUUAUGGUCAUUUGAAGACAAUUGCACAAAGUUGAAGAACCAUUUCGAAAUUCAACUUAUGAAUUCGAAAUGACCCCAAUUUCAAAUUCACCCACUGUCACUUUGAUAUUUCACCUCCUCAACUUAUUAUUUUUUUAAAUUAUUUUUAGGUAAUUAUUUUGUAAUAAGUGGCUAAUGAGAGUGUUUUACAUGUUAGGUUUUGAUGAUAUUAUAUAAACUCUCUUAGUUCUAGGGUUUAGAGAUCUUAGAUCUUUUUUCGGAGAGUUUGACAUUGGAGGUGGAAAAAAAUGAGAACUUUGGUUUAUUUUCUUUUCUUCUUUAUUAAAUAUAUUGUUUUUAGUUCUUUUGAUUCAAAUUAUGGAUUUUUAUCCUAUUAUGGAUUAUGAAUGUGACAUUACCCCCAAGAGAGGCUAAAAAGCCAACUUGGGCCUUGAAGCAUGACAACCUAAGGACUAGGAAAUCUAUAGGGACAAUGGGUAAAUUAUUAUAACAAUGAGAUUAGUUAUUGGUUGGGUGACAAUUUAUUAAUUUUUUAUCCUAUCCUUGCGAGUUAGUUUAAGAAAUGAUACAGUAGGUUAUUACCCGAUACUAGUGAUUCUUGGUAACUCUUGAUCAUUAGUUAUCCUCGUCUUCUUUAUCUUUAUUGCCCCAAAACAAAGUUAUAAGGACUAGAAAGUUUUAAAAAGUCAAAUCGAUAAUCGAUAAUCAAUCUCAUUCAUUUCAUAGUUUUAGGAAUCUGUUUUAAAAAGAAAAAAUUAGGCUUCAGAUGCAAUUUUGAGUUAUAGAAUUCAAGUUGAUCGCGAGCAACCAAAGAUCCCAAAACCUUAAGAUCAUAUUACUUAAAAGACCCAAGAUCCCAAAACCCUAAGAUCAAAUUACUUAAAAGACCCUUGUUUUCUCUAACUUCUAUACCCUAAGUUGGAUUGUGGAAAGCCCCAAACUUGAAUCAAUCGAAUUUAAAAUCAAUAUUUAUUUUGUUAUUAAUUUAAUUUCUUUUUACUUAGUUUCACAUUAUUCACAUAUCAUUUUCCACUUUAGGAUUCAAAUAAAAGUAAUUUAUUUACUCUAGUAUUGACAAAUCCCAUAAGCCAAUCCUUGAGGAUGAUACCCGAAAUACUACAAAAGUCAUAGCAGUUUUUUCUUUGAUCUUUAUGGCCAAAGCUACUACAUAUUAGGCUUACGUAUUUUGGUACAAUAGAGAAGUUCGAUCAGUUUCCUAUUUUGAAAAGAAGAAUUUGGGCUCUCUACCAAACUUUUUAGAUAUUGGUGUAGUUUUUUUCUCCGAAAGGUUAUCUUCUCUCACUCUCUAAGUACAUAGUUGAUAUUCUCAAUUACUCGCCUCAUUAAUACUAAGACUGUUGAUACUCUUCUUGAGGUUAAUGUUCAAUAUUCUUCUUUUGAUGGUAACCCUUUGUCAUACCCUACUUAUAUUGUACUAUUAUUAAUAGCUUAGUCUAUUUCACAAUUAUAUGUUCAGACAUUGGUUAUGUUGUUCACAUUAUUAAUUACUUUGUUAUUUCUCCUAUUAUAGUUCAUUGGGUUGUUGUUAAUAAAAUACAAAAGACAUAUAAAUAAAGUUAAAUGUUAUAUUUUUUUUCAUUUUAUAUAUAUCUUUAUAUUUAAAUAUUAUAAAUGGUCUAUUUAAUAAAAUUUAAAAUAUUAAUAUAUUUAUAUUUCUCUUCAUCAUUUAAUUUGAUAUGUCAAAUAUAAAAAUAAAAUAUUAUUAAAAAAAUUUAAUUAUAUAUAAUUUUAAUUUCUUAUAAUUAUUUAAAAUUUUAUAUAAUAUAUAAAUUAUUAUUUAUGAUGUCAUCGGGACGACCAAGGUCCAACAAUCCGACCGAGGUCCCGACCAUCGAUUCUGAACCAUGAACUAAUAACUUUUCUGAUUCAAUCAUCAAUCCAAUUCUCAAAACAUUGAUCAUAUGAAUUAAUAGUACAAAAAUUCAUGGUCCCACUAUUGAUUUUUUUAAAAAUAAAAUAAAAUUAACCAUGAAAUAUGGGCCCCAUGUUGUUCUUAAAUCUUAAUUAUCAAAUAAAAUGAUGAAAUAUUUUAAAAUUUAUAAUUAUUUAUAUAUUUUUUUAACUUAUUAUAAUAAUUUUUAAUUUUUAACCGUGAUUCAACAAGCAAUCAUUGAAUCAUGAAUCAAUAACUAUUUUGAUUCAAUAACCAAUCCAAUUUUGAAAGCAUUGGUAAAUAUAGGCAUACAACUAUUGGAAAUGACUCCCGACUUUCCAAGGAAGGCCUAAACUUCCCUUUUUUCUUGCUGAAUUCUAAAUUUAAUAGCAUUGCAAACGCUGCAGAUUAAAAACACAGGUCUAGUUUUUUUAUAGUUUCUAAAUUUUCAUCCUUUUAUCGUGUCUUUGGUACUUAGAGCAGAGACUGAAAGUGGAGGCCCAUACUGUUAAGUUGGUAAUCAAGGAUGAAAGAAUAGCUCAAGGUUCUAUUACUGUCUGGAAUUUCAAACUACAUAAAAUUGGGACGACAAAGAAAUUAAAGAAUUUAACAUCCUAACAUCCUACUUACACGAAGAACAAAACCUUUUUUUUUUUCGUCUUACAAUUAAAUGUUGAACUGGAAAGUUUAGAACUUGUGCUCAUGAGUUCUUAUCGCUUUUGGAAGUUAAAUGCCUUAAUGGCAUAGGCAAAGAUGAAUAAGAAAAGCACCACAAACCCAACAACCACAGCUGCAACCACUCCCAGGAAAUCAUGUUUGAAUCCAAAAUAAUCAUCCAAGAAUUGUUUCACCGUUUGAUUAUUCUCAAGUAGUGUGCUCUGUAUAUCUCCAAACUGUGAUGCAACCAAUCCAUACAAAGUCCAUGCAACUGGACAUAUCCAACAGUACCAUCUCCACCACACCGGAAUUCUCUGUAUUCAUCAAGAAAUGCAACAAUACGAGUCAUUUCUAUAUCCAUGUGGUAAGGAAAGUUGCAAUUUAAAGAAUCACAGGUUGAGGCCACUUACGUUUCGUGGGACUAUGAAACCUGAAAAGAGGUUCCAUAAUGUAUAAAAUGUUGCGGCAAUGAUGGAAGCAAUAUGUUGAUUUGGCGUGGCAGCCACAGCCAUCAUGCCAUAGAAGGUGAAGUACAACAAAGUGCAGAACAUGAAGAACAGAUACCAGAAGAAUUUAGUGGCUGUCCAUUCAAAUCCAAUCAUUCCAUAAACUAUAACACCAUACACCACAGCUUGUGCAAAGACAUAUGGAAUCUCAACAAGAGCCUGCAACAAGAGAAGAAAUUUGAUUAUUAAAAGGCAAAACGUAUUACAUAUAUGCAAAGUCCGUAGCAUCAGAAAACUAAUUACCUGUCCAAAGGCAUAUGGCAGGGCUGAAUACAUUCCAGCAGCUCUUUCUCUGUAAAAGACUGUUCGUUCAACUACAAUGACUGGCUGGACCGAUUGGGCGUUCUGAACCCCAAGAAAGAGAACAGCAGCAUACAUAGAACCCAUUGCAUUUAACAGAUCUUGUUGCCUUGUCCUGCCAUUUACCUCAUCAAGUAAAAAUUAAAGUUGAUAUAGAGAAACAUACUGAGUUCUCAAAUUUUUGAACCGACAUCAAAUUACCUUCUGGUGCCCAGAUCCCAGAAAAUUAACCCAAACAUCAAGGCUAUGAAAGUUGUGAAGAGAAAUCUCACUGCCGUGUAUGGUGGGUUCCGCCAGUAUGACCAACGUUGUUUCCAUAAGCAUGCCAAAAAUUGGGUGAAGAAGGGUUGGGAGUAUUGAGUAGCAAAAUAGAGGUCUUUUGUACCAGGGGCAGGUUGGCUCAGUUCUUUAAUUAAAUCUUUGUUUCUCCUGAAACAUAUGCCACUUUUUAGAACAGGUUUCAACAACAAAUUUAAGCUUUUCACGAGAAACAUUAGGAUGGAUGUAUAUGACUUUUCAAUCUUAUAAUGCAAUUAGAUAACCUAUGCUUGAAUCACCUGUAUAGGUCUGAAUUCUUGUAUAUUUCAGUGAAAUCGACCCCCAAAGUUCCUUCUUGUGCUCCGGUGGUAACUUCCAGCAUCCAGGUUGCAGGGUUAUAACCAUCUUUGAUUUUACUGACUCCUUCAAUUCCCUUUAUGAAAGCAAGUGAUAUGUAUUAGUAAGUGCUUAAUAUGAAUUAACUCAAACUGAAGUAUUCACUUCUUAUAGCUUCUACAUUAUCAUGGCAGCUUACCUCAAAAUAAUUUAUCAGAUGGGAAGAAUGUCUACCCAGUGGUCCCACAUAUAUCUCUUGCCCUCCACGCUUCAUCAGGAGCAACUGCAAAUCCAUUUUAAAUAUUUCAGUGCCUAUAUGCAAAGAGCACAGAAGAGAAACUAUAAUUCUAUCCCUUAAUAUUUCCUACCUCAUCAAAGGCCUCAAAUAUGUCAAUACUUGGCUGAUGGAUGGUGCACACAACUGUUCUUCCUGUGUCCACAGUGUUUCUGACUGUUCUCAUAACAAUUGCAGCAGCUCUUGCAUCUAGCCCUGAAGUUGGCUCAUCCAUGAAUAUUAUUGAGGGAUUUGCCACAAGCUCAACUGCAAUAGUCAGCCUCUUGCGCUGCUCAGUUGAGAGGCCAUUUACACCUGGCAACCCAACCAGUGCAUCCCUCAAUGGGGUCAGUUCCACAAGCUCCAUGACUUCCUCAAUGAACAUCUGUAACCAUUAGCAAUGAUUAUAAAUUGUUCAAAAAACGUUGCAAACCAUAGUAGAGAUGGUAAAAAAUUUGAGACUGCUUGUGACUCUUCUGUUAUCAGGCUGUGAAGAGGUUUCCCUAGUCUUACUAAAUGGAUCGGUUAAUAGGUGCAAAUGCUCAAUAACGCUCAUUAGCUUGCAUGAACUUCACCAGAUUGGAUUAAAAGUCAAUGAAAUUUGAACCAGCACUUUUUCCCAGGUGAAGGUCAAUCCAAACUUGAACUGACCUUACCUCAACCAAAUAUGAAAAGUCAAUUUUAGGGCUUUGCUUGUUUAGAGCACUAAAUUGAACAAGAAAAAUAUAGAAACAAUUAAGAAGACUCCUACCUUUCUGGUUUCAGAAUUCACAUCAGAAGGCAACCGCAGCCAAGCUGAGUAGAGCAAGGACUCAUGGACAGUAACAUGAGGAGAGUGGAUGUCAUUCUGCUCACAGUAUCCAGAAAUUCGAGCAAAAGUCUCUUGCUUCUUUGGGUAGCCAGAAAUAGAAAUGUUACCCUCAAUAUAUCCACCAGUUUUCCGACCAGCCAGUACAUCCAUGAGAGUGGUUUUACCAGCACCACUAACACCCAUCAGAGCUGUAAGAACACCAGGCCUGAAAGCACCACUCACCCCCUUCAGAAGCUCCAGUCUGUCUUCAAGGGCACCCUGACUUUUCAUUUCCUGCAAGUUCAUUUCAAACAACUCAGUUCUCAUUUCUGGUUUAUAGUACAUUAUGAAAAAACUUCAGUGCUGCUAAAACAUAUGUCAUCAUUUGAAUAAAUAUGAUGUUACCUCUGGCAUGUCAACUGAGUAUCUAAUAUCAUCAAAAGUGAUAGAAUGUGGUUGGAAUGGAAGAACCAUUCCUUUCUUCUUAUUAUGGUUACCCUCAGCAAUGGCUUCUACCAUAUGCUCUCCCCUCUCUGCAUGUCAAGUUUAAAUUCAGUGAGCCAUAUAAAACAUGUAGUUAAAUGACAAGAAUUGAGUCAUACAAAGGCAUGCAUGCAUGCACCAUGUAUGAGUUUCAUCACCUGUGGUUGCAGUUUUGGCAUUGUCAGACUCUUCUGUUAUAACAGCUUGAGGCUUCUCAAAUGCUGCGCAAUUUGCACAAUGUUAGUACACUAAUCUCAUAUUUUUAGGAGUUUCAAUGCAGAGAAGGUACAGAUACCCACGAUUUAAGUAAUUGAGGCAGAGAGUGUAAAAGAAGUUGAAAACAAAUAUGAAUCCAAGCAGUGCCCCAGCUCCUAUCCAGUACCAGUGUGCGUCUGUGAAGAACCCACGAGACUUCAAUACUGUGAUUCCAAGGGAUUCUGUUGAAUUGGUAACAUUCUGAAAAAUGGAAAUAAGUACAAUCAUCAGUUACUGACACACACAAAUAUUCACAUGGAACAUUCAAGAACUUACUUUGCUCCAACUCUUCCCAAGGAAUUCAUUUACCACUAUUGCAUUCUGUGCAUACAUCAGAGGGGACGACCAGUAACCCCAAAUCCACCAUUUCUUGACAUUAUCUGCAGCAUUGACCAAAUAAAAAAGGAAACAAAAAUUCAUUAUUAGGGGUUAUGCACAAGAAGGUUCCAUGCUUCCUAAAAGGAUAUUUCCUCAUCAUACCAUGUGACAGGAUAAAACCACCCAAUGCCAUGAGCAUAAGUACAGCAAAUGCCCCAAAUGUGCUUGCAACAAUCAUGUUUCUACCGGCUGCUGCUAUAAAUCGAAAUAAUCCAGAUGCCAUCUGAUUAACAAGCAAGAGGAGAAGAUACUGUCUAAACAACCUGCAAUAAGGAGAUUUGUUUAUUCAGCAUUAAUCAUUUUGGAACAGAGAAAACAUGUAAAAGAAAUCUGGAUAAGUUUCUGCAACUUCAUAACUUUUUAACUUUUACCUUUCCACAUUUGGAUCAAAUCCAAUGACAUAGUAAGUGAUGAACACCCAAACAGCAACUUCAACAAAUGUGAUGGGGAUCUUGAGCACCCAUGUGGGAAGAGCAUAUGCCCAUGCAGGAUAGAAGAGAAAGUCUCUUUGCUUGUAAAAGACAGGAAGUUUUGCAAUUGUCAUGGCAAGUUCUGCCAUUCCAUUAAACAUGAUCAUGACAACAGUGAAGAACAAGGCACCCGUGUAAAUGCUUCCAUCUUCUGUUGAAUUUUUGUUCAUCUCAGUUCUUAGGAAGAGUGUCAUUGCAAUCACUGCCACUACUGCAAGCUAAAAAUAGAAAUAAAAAUAAUAAAUUACGAUCAGAUAUACAAAAUUAAAAGCCAUAGUUAUAAUUAGCAAUAAUAAUAAUAAUACUCACUUGGGUGAGUUUGAAAAUAUAAACAAAUGAGUUCCUCUUCAUCAGUAAGUACUCUCUUGACAUGUUGGCAUCCAACAGUUCCUUCUUUCUAACACCAUACUUUUUGGUUGUCAAAGCAGCUGGGUGGCUUUUGGCCCUGUCAAAUGGUGAUGCAAGCUCAUCUGCUACUUUCCGUCCAAUGUGAAAGGACUGGAAUGCCUCAGCAAAUUCCUUGACUGUGACAAAGCUGUAAGGCACAUCUUUACGUGCCCAAUACUGGGCCUGAUCUUUUCUAGAUGUUACCUGCAAUGAAUUUUAAAGUUCAUGUUCUAGCUCUAUUUUUUUCUCAAAAAAAGAAAAAAAAGAAAAGAAAAAGACAGAAGAUAACAAAGCUAGAUUUGCACGCACUUCUUGCAGGAAGUCUGCCUCACCCUUCCUUUCAGGACAUUUGAAGCCUAUGGAUUCAAAAAAUUCAAGCACAUCUUCACGAGGACCUUGAUAAACAAUCUGACUAUCAGAAAGGAGAAUGAUGUCAUCAAAAAGAUUGUAAGUCUCAGGUGCUGGCUGGAGGAGAGAGAUGACAGCAGUCCCAUUGAGAAUGUGGAUGGUUUGCUUGAGAGAAUUGAUGAUUUGAAAAGUUGUUGAGCUGUCCAAGCCAGUAGAGAUCUCAUCCAUAAACAGUGCCUUUGAUGGUCCGACCAGCAUCUCACCUAUCAUUCAUACAUUUCACAUAAUUGAAUUAAAUUAAAUUAAUGAACAAAAAAUCUAAUUUGAUUUGUUUUUUCAUUUAGUUAGAAACCAAAUUAUCCCACCUGUUGUGACACGCUUCCUUUGUCCUCCAGAGAUACCCCUUAUCAUCUCAUCUCCUACCAUGGUAUCUGCACAGAUGUCUAGUCCCAAAAUCUGUAGAUUUAAAUGUAAAAAAAAAAACAAACAAAUUAUGAAUUAGAAUUGGGUUUUCUCAGAAAUCUAUAUGCCAUCAUUGAAAGUUUUAUGGUUCUAAUACCUUCAAUGUAUAAUCAGUGACUACAUUUUCCUUCUGACCUUCUGUUGCUGCUGCCUGAAAUAUUGGAAUCCAAUGAUGAAAAUGUCAACCACCAUGCAAGCAACUUCUGUACAUUAAGAAAUUUCAUAGAUAAAAGAUUCUAACAUAGCAUAAAAUUCACAAAUUAGAUUGACUCAAGCCAUUCAUUUGAGUACAAAAAGAAAGAAACAAACUCCAGAACAAACAGAACUCCGACAUUAAUACAAAGCCAUUUUGCCCAUCUAUGUCAGAAUUCAAAAUUUAAUUUCUGGAAAGAGCAGUAUCCAUGUUCACUAAAAGCAAAUAGCUCAAUUUCUGCAGAGCUGAUUAAAAUUUCACUAAAAGUAGAUUCUGUCUCACCUUCAUGAAGACAUCAAGAUCAGGAUCAGGCUUAAUAUUUGCUGCUUUCUCUCUUCUUGACAGCUCUGCUAACAUGUCUGCACAUGGCAAAAAUAAGAGUCAAUCUUCUAGGCUACGGAAAUGUCAUAAAAUUGCAUUCACAACCUGCAAAAAGCGGAGAAAAUAAAAGCAAGGGCAAUGGUUUAGACUAACCAUAUCGAUCUCCAACACCCUGGCAUCUUGCAGAGAAUGCCAAGGUUUCCCUUACAGUCAUUUCUCCUAUAUGGGUAUCAUGUUGGCUGAUAUAGGCUGCAGUUCUCUGGGGUACAAACUCAUUCAUGCCAUGGCCGUUGUAUGUCACCCUUCCCAUAACCUAAAGAAGGAAUUUCAGUUUUGAAAUUGGAUAUGAGAUUAAAGAAAUAAAAAAUCAAACAUUCCAUAAAGAAUGGAGGAGUAAUAAUCAUUUUCUUUCAACCUUUAGAUUGGGAUCAAGCUUGCCAGCCAAUGCCAAUAAGAGGGUGGUCUUUCCAGAACUUGGAGGACCUAAAAGCAAAGUCAAUCUGCAGAAGAAAAAUAUGCACAAAAAUCUUGAGUAUGGAUCUUCGGGACAUUCUAACUUUGAAGAACGAAAAAAUCAUUUGAGUUAUCAAUCCUUUUUUUACUAGAAACAAAUUCAUUCUCACCUGCGUGGUUUGAUGAUCCCACUAACAUCAUUGAGAAUAGUGAAUUUCCUCUUUUUACUUGGAAGAAUACGCACAGCGUUCAGGAUACCCUUUGGAAAAGAAGGGAAAAUUAGAUCUAAAAACAAACUUACUUAAAAGAAUACUGAGUACAUAGAUAAUGAUCAGCAUUUGCAUGUAGUUACCUCAAGUUUAUUAAAAAUGAAAUUAUGAAAUGAAGGCAAAGCUCUGCUUCCUACAAAAGCUUCUGCAUCGAUGGUAAGAUGCUCAAAUCUAACUUCAAUUUCGGGAACAUCAAUUCCAACUCUGAAAAAAUGGAAGAGUCGUGAAAACCCAUUAUCAAAAAUUCAAAGGAAGAUGUUGUUUGGCUGUGGAGAAAAUGUGGGAAACACUCAUGAGGCAUAUUUCAGGUCAAGUUUUUUUUUUUUUUUCCUCUUUAUGUCCUUCUGUUUUCAAUGUUCAAAAACAAAUGGCAAGGAAUGCAAGAAAGGAGGAGAAAUCUCACCUAUCGAUACGAUUCUUGAGCUUCAACAAGAACUUCUCAUUGUCCUCUUCGGCAACUUUUACCAACCGCUCCACUAAAUUCUUCUUUUCCUGAAACCCAAGGUUAUGGAUAUCAAUUUCACUGGCCUCACCCUCGGAUCCCAUCAGCAAACCUCUCCUCAACCGAUUGUAGGUGGGAAGUUUCUCGAGUGCGGCCCAUUUCAAAGCUUCCUCAUCAUCCUCAUCCCUCGAAGAUCGGGAGAAAACAUCCGCACCGGAGCUCCUCCAUAUCGAAGAACCGUUCCUCCUUAAACUACCACUGGCUCUAUAAGUGUCAGCAGUGGCCAUUGCAACCUGAAACGAAGAACCCUCCUGCAAGACCAAUCAAAACCCACAAAAACCCAGAAAUUUUUCCUCAAAAGUCUGAGAAAGAAGCUCAGAGUUUUGAACCCUGGAGCCCAAAGAAGCUAAAAAUCAGAUACGAGUCCCCUUCCCCCCUUUUCUCUGCAUAAAAGUCUCUACCCUUUGAAUUGGUAAGACUUGAUGCCUUCAGAAUGGAGGGUUUAUAUAGGUGAUGGGUUGAACAGGCCCUCAAGUUUUCGAACUUCUUGGUUUCCUAUGACUUUUCCUUAAAAAAAAUUAGCGUGGAAAUUGAAUAUAUAAGCUGCUGGGUAACGAUUCCAACGACUUUGACCCGUCAAAUUCUUAAAUCAAACACUUCUAGAGUUUCCCAACGGGAGCGCGAUUUGUUUAAAGCUUCCAACCCGCCAAAUGAACUAACUUUUUAAAACACUCAUCUUCUUAUCUCUUUCAGGAAAAUAAAUAAAUAAAUAAAAUUGUGGUCAUAUCAACAAUAAAAAAUAAAUUUAAAAUUUUUUAAAUUUAAAAUAUAAUUAAAAUUAAAAAUAUAAAAAAUAAAAUAUUGACCCUGAUUACAUUUUCAGCGCUUUUUCAUUAUCUAUCUUUUGUUUAUUUGUUUAUUAUCAUUAUUAUAUACUAAAAUUCCCGCAAAACAAAAUUGAAUAUAAAUAAACAUAAAUAAUAAUAAUAAUUGUUAUUAUUAUUGUAUACAAUAGUAAUAAUAACAAUAAUGAUAAAUGAAAAAAAAAUAAACAAAAGAUAGGUAUUGAGAAAGAGUUGAAAAUGCGUUAAGAGCUAACAUAUCAUUUUUAUAAUUUUAGGAUUAAAGUUUUUUUUUAACUUUUUAUUGCAUUUAUUUUUUAAAACUUUCAUUUUAUUGUUUAGGCCAACCAACAAAAUUUUUUUCAAUUUUUUAUUUUUAAUUUUUAAAAAAAGAGAUAAGAAGAUGAGAUGUUAAAAUCAAGAAUGUUUGAUUUAUAUAAUGCAAAAUAUAAAAUUAUUAUGGGAGGAUUUUUCCACAAUGACUUGCAUUCAAUAUUAUAUAAUUAAUAAAUUAAUAAAUAUAUUUACUAGUAAGAUGAUUUUAACAAAUUUAUAAAUAUAUUUAUUAGCAAGAUAAUUUUAUUUAUUAUUAUCAAAUUUUUAGGAGAGAUCAUUAAGAGGAUCUAGUUUUGCAUGAUUUUAAUAUUUGAUCCCUAGUUUUAUUACUAAAUAUGAGAUUAUGGUUCUAGGUAAAAAAAAAUUGCUAAUGUUAGAAAUUUGAAUAUAUAUAUAUAUAUAUAUAUAUAUAUAGGUUAUGUUUGGUUCCUAGAAAAUACUAAAGAAAGAAAAAAAAUGGAAAGAAAAAUAAUUUUUUCAUGUUUGGUUGUCCUAUGAAAAAUAUAAAAAAAAAUCAAAUAUAAUUAAAACUAAUUAAAAAAUUAUGUAUUUUUAAAUUAUUUAAUCUUUAUAUUAAUAAUUUAAAAUAAAUAAAAUGAGUUUGAAGUAACAAAAAAAUAAUUUAUCAACUUUUAAUAUAUUUUUUAUUUUUCUUCACUUUUUAUUUCCUUCUACUUUUCCUUUGUAUUUUCUUUUCCUUACAUUUUCCCUCAAAUUUUCUAGGAACCAAACAUAACCAUAGUAUUUCAACUCGGGGACCCCAACAACCAUAAACAAACCCUAAUUAGUCAACUAACCGAUUUGAUCAAUUUAUUAGUCACUAUGCAUUUAAUGCAUUGAUAGAUGAUCACUUAGACUUAGAUCCUUAAUCAGUUGAGCAAUGAAUUUGACGGAUACUCAACUAGUCAAAGCUUAAACUACUAGAAAAGAGAAAAAUAACAAAUGUCUCUUAAUUUAUCAAGUCUAACCUAUUUAGUCGGUUCCUCAACUCCUCAAUCGUAAAUGGCAUGGUUUAAGGUCUGAAACCUCCAAUAACUUACAUAAACCUUCUUAAAACUUUUCAGGAUAAAUUUAAAAGUAAUUUAGCUCAAGGUUUUAAUUGAAAAUAAGAAAUCGCCCAAUUCUUUGAGACAUAUGCAUAUAUAUAUAUAAAUUAUCUUAAUUUUACACAACAUUUUAGGUUGAUUUAAGUCUUCAAGGAUCCUAAGUCUUCCAUGAUUGCUUGAGCUUUCUUUAGAUUUUCAAUAGUAAACUUAAAAAACUUAAUUUGAUUUAAACUAUUAGUAAUUUUAACUUUAUUUUGUAAUUAUAAAAAACCUAUUAGGAGAAUCGUUGGGCUAAUAGUCUUGAUGUUUGAUCUUUAAGAUUAUUCAAUUCUAAAAAGAAAUGGGAGGGUCAAGGAUUUUUGUUGGUUGAAGGAGAGUGAGAGGGGCUAGCCAUGUCAAAUAGCACACUUUUGAUGCCUUUUAAUAAGAGUUAUUUGGUUAAAUGGGUCAAAAUAACCCCACUAUUUAUAAAUAUAACCCAUCUAUCAAAAAGUUAAAUAAAAAAAAAAACUGUUGAUUAAGACAAAAAUGCCCUUCCUUUUAUUUCCCUCCAACACUUACAACUUCUCAUUUUCUACUUCAUUUAACUUUCUAUAGAACGACUUCUCAUCUUUUCCUUCAGAAACCGUAAAAAAUUUCUCAUCAUUUUCUUCUACUUCAUUCUCUUCUUUUGGUGUACAAAAAGGAAAACUUAUCUUCUAUUCUGCUUCAUUUACAUAACAACUCCUCAUCUUUUAUUUUCUUCUUCUAUUUCAUUCUCUCCAUUUGGUGCAUAGAACAGAAAGCUCAUAUUUUCUUUAGAAGCCCUAGAAAAUUUCUCGUCUAUCAUAUCAUCUUUUGUUUCAUUCUCAAUCCUUAGAAAAAUUAUCUCAUCUCAUUUUAUCAUUUCAUCUAUCCUCUUAUCCUCUCAUUUUUUUGUCCAGUUAUCUCAUAUUGUAUCUUCAAGCACAAUAAAAAAAAAAUAGGUUCAUUGAAGAGUGAUAAAAGAAAAAGGUUAAAAAUGGUGAUAAAAAAAUCAAAAAUCCCAAUUGCGAAGAGAAAAAGCAAAAAAUUGUGACUAUGAACUUAACUGUGGUUAAGUUCUUUAUUAAUGCAACUCAACUAUUGUUAAGUUCAAGUGAAAAUUCCAACUGUGAACUUAACUGUGAUUGAGUUAUUCGUUAAUACAACUCAACCACUAUUAAGCUCAAGUGAAAAUUCUAACUAUGAACUUAACUGUGGUUAAGUUAUUUGUUAAUGCAACUCAACCACUAUUAAAUUUAAAUGAAAAUUCUGACUAUGAACUUAACUCUGGUUAAGUUAUUUGUUAAUGCAACUUAAUAAUAGUUAAGUUUAUAUUAAUGCAAUGACUGUCAACUUAACCAUAAUUAAACUUAACUAAUUAAUUUAUAUGAUAAAACUAAAACAUUAAUUUAAAAUUUCAAUCUAUGAUUCAAAAAAAUUGCUUUAAGCAUAUACAAAAAAAUAGGCUCACAAAUCCCUUCAUGACCCUAUACAAAAAAUUAAAUAAAUAAAAAUGUAGAUACAUAGUUAAAUCAUCCUCAAAAAAAAAAUUCUAUGGUAGCAAUAUUAAAGUGACUUAUGAACUGGUUGUAAGGAAAAUUCUUGGAUGUUGAUAUUCCUCUCAACAAUAUUGACACAACUAUAUUCAUCUCUAGGAUGUAAUGAGAUUGGUCGUUUGCAUGUUUUUUUAUCAUGCCCAUAAUCACCAAAUCUACCACAACAUCGUGUGUGUUUAACCUCUCCACUUGAACAAAUUCUCUCCUUUCUUGGUCUUCCUACUAGUCGUUGACUUUUUAGUGGUAGCACAACUCUACAAUGAAUGUCUUCCGGAAUACAAUACAUAACUCAAUUGGAUCUAGUUGAAGAAUGCGAUACACAACUCUCAUUAAUUCAUGAUAUGAUAUAUUCUUCUUCACCGUAAAGUCUUUACCUUCACUUCCUUUAAAGUGGUAUAUGUUCUCAUCUUAUACCUAAUUCCCUUUAUACAAAAGCAUUAUUCCUACAUCAUCAAUGACUGUAGAAAUAAAUAUUUCAAAUUAUCAUAUUAAGAAUGAAAUAGUACAAUAUAUGAUAUACUUUUAUUGAGUUUCAACUAUAGACUAUGUAAUGAAUCUUGAAACAUAUAUUUAUAUUUUUAUUAAAUAACCCACUACAUAAUAAUAUGUCAACAAUUCAAUCUCAGUUUUCAGUAAAGUUAUAUAAAAAUAAAUUUUUGCUUUGAAUAGCAACACAUAAACUCAACUUAUGUUAAGUUAAACCUAACAAAUAGUAAAAUUUGUUGUUCAAUGCAUCAAUGCAACACUUCCCAUAAAUCAAAUAUCCAAAGGAACAAUAUAUAACUACAAUGGGUAUUAAUCAUGAGCAAUACUAAAACCAUAAUAAAUUUUCAUGCAUGUGAUUUAUUGCUUACCAUCAUUUGACCUUGUCAUAUGGAUAAAUCUUUUCAACUUCUUUUGAAUGAACUUUUCACUUUUUCAUAAUUAAUAAUGGAGUCUCUAUUUUUUACCUACAAUGGUGAAGUGAUAUUUUGAAUUUUUAGAAAAUAGAAAGAAAUAAAAUGAUAAUCUAAAAAAGAAAUUGUUGGGUGCUUACAUUUUUUUUUUUUCAUUUUAUCGUGAUCAAGAAUGAAGAAUAAAUGAAACAAUGGUAAGGACUUAGGCUUGUUCUCUACAGGAAAACAAAAAGAAGCAACCAAUGAUUGAAUAAAAAAAUAAAAACCUAAUCUACUAUAAAAAUAAAAUGAAUUGAAAGUUAUAUUGGAGGGAAAAUGAGGGGUAUUUUUGUCUCAAUCAAGUCAACUUUUUUGCCUUUUUAGGGGUGGGUUAUAUUUGUAAAUAUGAGUGUUAUUUUGACUCAUAUAACCAAAUAACCCUUUUAAUAAGGGUGACCAUGGUUUGAUAACCCUUACUCCUUUCCUUUUGAUUUAUUUUCAUUUCAUGGCCACUUAUUAAGAUGAGUGUUCUUCAAUAGAUUACCGUAUGUUCUUCAAAAUACAUCAUUUCAGCCUGUCUAAGCUUUGAAGAUUUUGUAACUCCAACUUUGAAUCUCUUAGAAGCAUUAAAGAUUCUUAUGCAUCCCCAAAUGAAGAUAGUAGCGGCAAGGAAAGUUUCCUAGUCUAAAAUGAAAUCUAAAGAAGGGACUUUUCCCUUCAUCUUUGAGGUUUGGACAUGACAAAGGCAACAUUUUGCACCAACUUCCUCCUAAAAGAGGUCUGUCCCAGCAAGUUCCUUUUCUUAAGGUCCUAUUGCCUUUUCCUUCAGAAUGUGUUCAACUACCACCUCCAAUGAGGGUUUUUCCUUGUCCUCCCCAUGUCAAGAUAGAUGGAGGGCUUCACUAGAUGCCCCCCCCUCCCCUUCCCCCCAAAUUAGGAAGGUUGUUGCAAGGUUCUCUUAAACGCAUCCUUAAAAAAGUUAUGCACAAUUCUUCUACCAAAGCCAAGAGUCUGUUUGCUUGUGAGUUCACAACUAAAAUAGUAAUUACAUUCUUUUCAAGUCAUUCAGUUUCCUUACUUUGGAUGGUUGUAUGCUUAAUGCUUUCAUCGUUCAUUUGUAGGCUUGCAUGAUUGUAUUUGGGGUCGCAAACCAAGCUGGUCUAUUUCAAGAGAUGCCAUUCUACCAUAAGAAUGAGAUUAAGCACCUUCGUCUUUUGAUGAAUAAGGUGUCCCUUGCACGAGUUCAAGGGUGAAGUCCAUAUUCUUGUGUAUGAGAGAAUUGUCCAAGAUAUUUCAACUUUUGGGUGGAGAAAAUAGUAAAAGAAAGAGGUGGUAGCUGUCUAAACUAACCUUAAUUUCUGCCUUCCAAGCAGAGAAUGAAUCCCUCCAUUGCAAGGUUUCUCAACUUGAUAAAGAACAAAAAAGUUUGGAAGUAGGACAGAUUUGGAUUGAGAUUAGACAUAAAGAUUCAAAACAAGAAAAGUUUGAACAAGAAUCCAGGAUUAGAAAGGCCCUAAUAGGAGGCCAAAGAAAAUGAAAAGAUAAAAUGUAUAUAUAGAAGUUGACUACAAUUUUUAGAAUGACUUAGAAAAGGCUUUCAAUAAUAGCAUAGCAAGGUAACAUCCUAAAAGGCUACAUCCUUUCAAACCAGAUGAAAAUCGACUACAUCUUUUCAAACCAAAUGAAGAUCGAGUCUAUUUAAGAGUGAUUAUGAUUAAAAUGUCAUUAUUCAUAGCAUUUUUAUUACUAGCUUCCAUUAGAAACACUUUUAAAUCUUGGACAUGAGGCUACUAAUAUUCUAAUCGGUAAUCAAGGAUGAAAGAAUUUCAUAAACUUUUAUUAUUGUCUCGAAUUUCAAAUACAAGAAAAUAAAGAUUGUUUUAUUUAAUAUAAUAAGGUGGGGGUUUUUUUCUUUUUUCUUUUUUUACUUAAUUUUAAAUAGAACAUAAAACUAAAUAGUGCUUAGUAGUAUUAAGUUUUAGAUUGUUUAUUUUUAUAAUAUUUUAUUUCUAUUAAGUGUUAAAAAAUAUAGAAAAAAAUCAGCAUAUUACUUUUUCCAUUUAAAAAAAAAACUAAAUAUUUUAGUUUUUUUAUUCAACAAAAAAAUUAUAAUAAGUCAUGAAAAUGUAAAAUAUAUAUAUAACCUAAAGUCUGAAAACAAAUUGCUUUUAGCAAAAAGUUAAAAAAGUAAACACCCUCAAAAUGUUUUUAUGAACUUGCCCAUUCUAAAGAUAUGAGUUCCAAAACAUAAAAUACAUAGAAGAGUCGUUUCUUUUUAGGGAAAAUCAUCUAACCAUACACCAACUACAAAAAAAUAUGAGAUUUUGGAACUUUACUUUUUUCUUUUUAAUUUUAGUGUAAAAUGGGAAAAAAUAUUGUUUAUUCAUGCAUUCCAAUAGUGUUUUCAAAUUUGUUCCACAAUUACUCUCAAAAGUAAAGGACAAAGUACAUACCAAUUUAAUACCACUUGUUAACAAGUACAUGAGUCAUUUAUUUUUAUUAUUUUUCUCACAUCAAGAUAUCUCCCUUACUACUUGUCACGUUUUCACUUUUUUCUUUUUUUUUCUUUUUUCUUUUUUUUUCCUCUCUUGCCACCAUAAUCCAUUGUCACCUAUUAUAGUUUUUAUUAUUAUUUUUCUUUUUUUCCUUUAUAUUCUUUUUAAUAUGCUCGCGCAUUUUCUCAUAAAACUUCUUUAAUUUUAAUUUAUUUUUACUCUCUAAUUUGUCUAUAUUUAUUGAUUUUAAUUAUUUUUUUGACAUAUUAAACUUAAAAUGAUAACAUAUAAUAAAUAAUUAAUAUAACAAAUUAAAUAAAAACAAAAUCUAUAAUGGACAAAAAUGAAAAUAUCAUCCCACAAAUAAUAAUGAUUUUAAAUAUUAAUUAUAAUAAUACAUUUUAUAAAUUAAGGUUUAAAUUUAAAAUUUACAUUUUAUUAUUUAGAAGUUUAUGAUAUAAGAUUUUUUAUAUUAAUACUAAACAAAAGAUUUAUUUAUUUUGUAAAUUCUAUCACAUGUAAAAGUAAAAAUAUCAUUGUAAUGUGUUGGGCUUUGUGGAGCCUAGUUUUGUUUGAUCCGAUUUGACGACCCAACCCGAAUAAUAUUGCAUGGCUUUUUUAAUGGGAGAUUUAUUGAGGCCUGUUGGGCCCGUUUAGCCCAUUGUGGAACCACCUUUUGUAAUUAGGGUUUUUUAGUAUGGUAGGGUUGCCGUGCUAUAUAUAUAGAGAGAAUAUUGUAGCCGCCAGGUUGUACUCUGUAUUCUUUCCUGAUAAUAGUGAUAUCCCUGCAACUUCGUGGACGUAGGCAAAUUGCCGAACCACGUAAAUACUGUUUGUGUGUGAUUGUUUUUCUUUGGCGUGUGUUUUCUCUAAUUUUUUGUUUCUCACAGGUUGGGAAUUUUGUUUAAUUCCCUACAAUUGGUAUCAGAGCCUAGGGUUAGGUUUGAGUGGGAGCAAUGGCAGAGGAAGCAGGAAAGGAGUCUGGAAUAGAAAAGUUUGAUGGCACAGACUUUGCGUAUUGGAGGAUGCAGAUUGAAGAUUAUCUCUAUGGGAGGAAAUUGCAUCUGCCUCUUUUGGGGACAAAACCUGAGAGUAUGAAGGCUGAGGAAUGGGCGCUUCUUGACAGACAGGUUCUAGGAGUUAUUAGGUUAACUCUGUCUAGGUCUGUUGCACACAAUGUUGUAAAGGAGAAGACCACAGCAGAUCUGAUGAAGGCUUUGUCCGGUAUGUAUGAAAAGCCAUCCGCAAACAAUAAGGUGCAUCUGAUGAAGAAAUUGUUCAAUUUGAAGAUGGCAGAGAAUGCAUCAGUAGCACAACAUCUGAAUGAAUUUAAUACAAUCACAAAUCAAUUGUUGUCUGUAGAAAUUGAUUUUGAUGAUGAGAUUCGUGCUCUGAUCGUCUUGGCUUCUUUGCCAAACAGUUGGGAGGCAAUGAGGAUGGCAGUAAGCAAUUCUACGGGAAAGGAAAAGCUCAAGUACAAUGAUAUACGAGAUUUAAUUCUGACUGAGGAGAUUCGUCGAAGAGAUGCAGGUGAAACCUCAGGAUCUGGUUCUGCCCUAAACCUUGAGACAAGAGGUAGAGGUAAUAACAGAAAUUCAAAUCAAGGUAGAUCAAAUUCCAGAAAUUCUAAUCGGAACAGAAGCAAAUCUAGAUCAGGCCAAUAAGUACAAUGUUGGAAUUAUGGGAAAACAGGUCACUUUAAAAGGCAAUGCAAAAGCCCUAAGAAGAAGAAUGAAGAUGAUUCUGCUAAUGCUGUAACAGAAGAGGUACAUGAUGCAUUAAUUCUUGCAGUAGACAGUUCACUUGAUGAUUGGGUUUUGGAUUCAAGAGCUUCGUUUCAUACCACUCCACACCAAGAAAUCAUACAGAAUUAUGUUGCAGGUGAUUUUGGUAAGGUGUAUUUGGCUGAUGGUUCAGCCUUGGAUGUUGUGGGUCUGGGAGAUGUCCGGAUAUCGUUGCCCAAUGGGUCUGUUUGGUUACUGGAGAAGGUUCGACAUAUUCCUGACCUGAGGAGGAAUCUGAUUUCUGUUGGACAACUUGAUGAUGAAGGACAUGCAAUACUAUUUGUUGGUGGUACUUGGAAGGUUACAAAUGGAGCUAGGGUAUUGGCUCGUGGAAAGAAGACUGGCACUCUGUAUAUGACCUCAUGUCCAAGAGACACAAUUGCAGUUGCUGAUGCAAGUACUGAUACAAGCCUAUGACAUCGCAGACUUGGUCACAUGAGUGAGAAAGGGAUGAAGAUGUUGCUGUCAAAAGGAAAACUACCAGAAUUGAAGUCCAUUGAUUUUGACAUGUGUGAAAGUUGCAUCUUAGGAAAGCAAAAAAAGGUGAGCUUCUUGAAAACUGGCAGGACACCGAAGGCUGAAAAAUUGGAACUAGUACACACUGAUUUGUGGGAGCCUUCUCCGGUUGCAUCCCUAGGAGGUUCAAGGUACUACAUCACCUUUAUUGAUGACUCAAGUAGAAAGGUAUGGGUUUAUUUUCUGAAAAAUAAAUCUAAUGUAUUUGUAACUUUUAAGAAGUGGAAGGUCAUGGUUGAGACAGAAACAGGUUUGAAAGUAAAAUGUUUGAGGUCAGAUAAUGGAGGAGAGUACAUAGAUGGAGGAUUCAGUGAGUAUUGUGCUGCACAGGGAAUUAGGAUGGAGAAGACCAUUCCUGGGACACCAUAGCAGAAUGGUGUGGCUGAGCGCAUGAAUAGAACUCUCAAUGAGCGUGCUAGAAGUAUGAGGUUGCAUGCUAGACUACCAAAAACUUUUUGGGCUGAUGCUGUUAGCACUGCAGCUUACCUGAUAAACCGAGGACCAUCAGUUCCCAUGGAGUUCAGACUUCCUGAGGAGGUUUGGAGCAGUAAAGAGGUGAAGUUUUCACAUUUAAAAGUUUUUGGUUGUAUUUCUUAUGUUCAUAUUGAUUCUGAUGCUCGUAGUAAACUUGAUGCAAAGUCAAAAAUAUGUUUUUUCAUUGGCUAUGGUGAUGAGAAAUUUGGCUAUAGGUUUUGGGAUGAACAAAACAGGAAAAUCAUCAGAAAUAGAAAUGUGAUAUUUAAUGAACAGGUUAUGUACAAAGACAGGUCAUCUGUAGUGUCAGAUGUUACAGAGAUAGAUCAAAAGAAAUCUGAGUUUGUCAACUUAGAUGAAUUGACUGAAAGUACUGUCCAAAAAGGGGGUGAAGAAGAUAAGGAGAAUGUAAAUUCACAGGUAGAUCUGAGUACACCUGUAGUUGAAGUUCGCAGAUCUUCUAGGAACAUUAGACCUCCGCAGCGUUAUUCACCUGUUUUAAAUUAUCUCCUGUUGACUGAUGGUGGUGAGCCAGAGUGUUAUGAUGAAGCCUUGCAAGAUGAGAAUUCAAGCAAGUGGGAGUUAGCCAUGAAGGAUGAGAUGGAUUCCCUAUUGGGGAAUCAGACAUGGGAACUAACUGAAUUGCCAGUAGGAAAGAAGGCUUUGCACAACAAAUGGGUAUACAGAAUAAAGAAUGAGCAUGAUGGUAGCAAACGUUACAAGGCCAGAUUAGUUGUUAAAGGGUUCCAGCAGAAGGAGGGCAUUGACUACACAGAGAUAUUUUCUCCAGUUGUGAAGAUGUCAACAAUUAGACUUGUACUUGGAAUGGUGGCUGCAGAAAACUUACAUCUUGAGCAGUUAGAUGUGAAGACAACAUUCCUUCAUGGUGACUUGGAGGAAGACCUUUACAUGAUUCAACCAGAAGGGUUCAUUGUUCAGGGACAAGAGAAUCUAGUCUGCAAACUGAGAAAGAGCUUGUAUGGCCUUAAACAAGCUCCUAGACAGUGGUACAAGAAGUUUGACAAUUUUAUGCAUAGAAUUGGGUUCAAGAGAUGUGAAGCUGAUCACUGUUGCUAUUUUAAGUCCUUUGACAAUUCUUAUAUCAUAUUACUAUUGUAUGGCAAACCUGUAAGGCUCAUUUUUUAGUGUCCAAUACUGCUCCUGAUCUUUCCUAGAUGUUACUUGCAAUGAAUUCAGUUUUCAGAAAGACUAAUUGUGCAUCUUAAUAUGUAAAGCUUAUCUUCUAGCUCGGUUAUAUCUAAAAGAAGAAAAUACCAAAAGCUACAAAGCUAGAUUUGCACUCACUUCUUGGAGGAAGUCUGUCACACCCUUUCUUUGAGGACAUUUGAAGCCCAUUGACUAAAAAAAUUCAAGCACAUUUUCACGAGGUCCUUGAUAAACAAUCUGACUAUCAGAGAGGAGAAUGAUGUCAUCAAAAAGAUCAUAAGUCUCAAGUGGUGGCUGGAGGAGAGAGAUGACAGCAGUCCCAUUGAGAAUGUGGAUGGUUUGCCUGAGAGAAUUCACAAUUUGAUAAGUUGUUGAGCUGUCCAAGCCAGUAGAGAUCUCGUCCAUGAAUAGCGCCUUUGAUGGACCGACCAGCAUCUCACCUAUCAUUCAAACAUUUCUCAUAAUUCAAUUAAAUUAAAUCAAUGAACCAUACAUAUAAAUACAUAUGUAGUUUUUUUCUUCUUCUUUCGGUUAGAAACCAAAUUAUUCAACCUGUUGUGACACGCUUCCUUUGUCCUCCAGAGAUACCUCUUAUCAUUUCAUCUCCUACCAUGAUAUCAGCACAGAUAUCUAAUCCCAGAAUCUGUGGAUAGAAGCAGGUAUAAAGACAAAUAAACAAAGUAUGAGCUAGUAUUGGCUUUUCUUAGAAAUCCGCAUGUCAUCAUUGAAAGUCAUAUGGUUAUAGUACCUUCAUUAUAUGAUCAGUGACCACACUUUUCUUCUGGCCUUCAGUUGUUGCUGCUUGAAAUAUUAGAAACCAGUAAUGACAAUAUUAGAAACCAAUUCUGUUCAGUACAUUAAGAAAUUCCAUGGAUAAAAGAUUUUGCAGUAGAGCAAAAUUCAGGAAUAAGAUCGACUCAAGCCAUUCAAAAGAGUACAAAAAGAAGGGAACAAACUCCAUAAUAGACACAACAUCAAGAAUACAAAGCCAAUUUGCCUAUUUAUGUCAAGAUAUCAAAAUUUUCAUUCUAGGGAAUACAAACAUCCAUGUUCUCCACUAAGAGCAAAUAGAUCAAAUUCCGAAGAACUAGUUAAAAUUUUACUGAAAGUAGCUUCUGUCUCACCUUCAUGAAGACAUCGAUAUCAGGAUCAGGCUUAAUGUUUGCUGCUUUCUCUCUUCUUGCGAGCUCUGCUAACAUUUCUGCAGAUAGCCAAAAUAAGAGUCAAUCUCCUAGCCUAUACAAAUGAGAUAUAACUGCAUUGGCAACCUUCAAAAACAGAGAAAAUAAAAGGCAAAGGCAAUGGCUUCGACUAACCAAAUCAAUCUCCAACACCCUGACAUCUUGCAGAGAAGGCCAAGGUUUCUCGUAUAGUCAUUUCUCCAAGAUGGGUAUCAUGUUAACUGAUAUACGCAGCAGUUCUCUGUUGUACAAACUCAUUCAUGCCAUGACCAUUGUGUCACCCUUCCAGUAACCUAAAGAAGAAAUUCCAGUUUUCAAAUUAGACAUGAGAUAAAACAGCUAAAAUUUGAAUAGUCAUGAUUAUUUUUUUCAUUCAACCUUCAGACUAGGAUCAAGCUUUCCGGACAACGCCAAUAAGAAAGUGGUCUUUCCAGAACUUGGAGGACCCAAAAGUAACGUCAAUCUGCAGAAAAAAAAAUGCACAACAAUUGAAUAUAGAUCUUUGAGUAUAUUCUAAAUUCAAAGGAACUAUUCGUCUGUUUUAUUAAGUAAUCCAUUUUUACACUCGAAACAAAUUCAUACUCUCACCUGCCAGGUUUGAUGAUUCCGCUAACAUCUCGAAGAAUAGUGAAUUUUCUCUUUCUAGUUGGAAGAAUCCGAAGACCAUGCAAGAUAUUCUUUAAAACAGAAGGAAAAUUAUAAACUAUAAGUAUACGUAUCGAAAAGAGUAUUUAUUGCAUAGCUAAUGAUCUGCAUUUGCAUUGUAGUUACCUCAACUUGAUUAAAAAUGAAAUUAAAGAAUGAAGGAAAAGCUCUGCUGCCUACAUAAGCUUCUCCAUCAAUAGUAAGAUGCUCAUAUCUAACUUCAAUUUCGGGAAGUUCAAUCCCAACUCUGAAAAAGUGGAAGAGACAUGAAAACUCAUCAUUAAAAAGUUAAAGAAAGUUGUUUGGUUGGGGAGAAAAUGUAGGAAACACCUAUUGAUUACUACUCAAAAAGUGCUAUUUGAUAGCCUAUAAUUAAUCCUUUUUAACACUUUUGAGUAGUAGUUUAAGCCUUUUAACUCAAUUGGCAUGUUAAGGAUCCUUUAAAGCAAUUUUGAUCACUUUGUGUAAGUUUUGGUGUUUUUGUUAGUAUUUUGAUCACCAAAGCAAGUCAAGACUGAGGAGAGCUAUGAGGAAUCUUGGGCAAAGCUUAGAAUUCAAUUGCCAAGAGUGAAUCCGGAUUGCAAGGAGAAAAAGCAAAGAGAAUCUACCAUGAAGCCUAUUCUUGAUGACAGUCGUAGCAGCCACUUUUGGAGCACUUUCUGAAGUCCAAAUGAUGCAUGCUAUAUACCAUUUCAAAGCUCAGGAAGUCAACAAUCCAAUGCUUCAAACGGUGCACGAUUCGGAGUUGAAACGAAGAAGUUGCAGCCAUUGCAAGUCAAUCACUCUAAAGUGUUGCGGAAUCAGCCUUUUGUUGCGAGAAUUUCGCAGUACUUUUGUACAGAAAGGUGUUUCUCCUUCUGACAAUUCAGGAACCAUGCCGCGAGAAGGGAGCUGGGAACCUCAAGGUGGAAGCCAACUUCGCAGCCUAGUGAAGAUAGCUCGGUGUUGCGAAAUAAUUUCGCAGCCCUCUUGGGUGUCUGCGAAAUUUCGCAGACUUCAUUUUUCACCUGCGAAAUGGCUCCUGAAGCCUCCCGAAACUUGCUACCGACAUUGGGAGAUAUUUUCCAUUAGAUUUUUGUUGUCUAAAUCCCAAAAUACUCCUUGUAAACCACCAAUUACAUGAUUCCUUAGUUUUUAAGUUAGUAAAAAGACUAAAUAUCUUUGUAACAAUUAGUUUUAUAUUGUUUUGAUAUAUAUACCUCUCGGGAGCCUGUUCUCGGAGAGGAGUUCCUUCUGUAACCGUUUGGGUAAGCAAGUAAAGGUCUUUUCUUUCUACUGUCUUACCUUCUCACUUUGUAUUUUCAUUUUAUUUCUAAGUUAUGAAUUCUCUGAGGAGUUUUCCCCAGAGAAUGAGUAACUAAACCUCCAAUUCCUUGGAGCUAAGGUUGCCGGGGAAGGUUCCAAGUGCAAGAAUGCAAAGCUCUGUGGUUUUAGCUAGUAAUGAAGAGGAAGUGAAAUCCUUUAGUGAUUUCAAUGUUUUUAGUUAACUUAAAACACCUUAGAGUCACCUGGGCCAACACUUGGUAAGGCAAGUGAUUUCCAACCAUGGAAAUGCACUAGUUUACCCCUUGCGAGCCUCUGGGAGGUGACUUCAGGGUAGGAUUUUCUAGAAUAGCCAACACUUGGUAAGCUUUUGGACUCUUAGGAGACAUCCAUUAGUUACCUCUUGCGAGCUUUUGACGGGUAAUCCAAGGUUAAAGAUCACCUUGAAUGGUAAGUGCUCGUGAGAGGCAUGAACCAUUGCAAGUUGCAUCAGUGAGAGAAUUAAAGUGAAAUCUAAUUGAAGGAGUCUCUGUACAUCACCGGUUAGAGAAUUGACUCUAAGUUGAAUCUCUAAUGCGAGGAAAUGAACCAUUUGACCAGAGCCGUGUCUUUUGCAUGAGGAACCACCCCGGUGAACCUAAAUCUCCAAGGAAUGUUUUUCUUCCUAAAUUAUUCCAAACUUCUGUUAAGUUAGUUAGUUUAAGUCUCAACCUUUACCAAUCAAAGUUUGUGUUUUAUUUCUUAAGCUAACCGUGAAAUGAAACAAGACCAAUUCACUUGGAAUUGGUAUCCUUGAUUGCUUGUUAGUCAUUCCCAGUGAACGAUCCUAGAGCCACUAUACUAUAGUAGCUUUUUAUUUGCUACCCUAGUGUAUGGUGUUAUAGGUAUAAAUUUUGUUGAUCACUUCCUCAAUCAAGGAGCACCAGCUGAACACAAAUCAGCUGAGACACCAAUUGGGCAUGAAUCACCUAUCAGGCAAACUCACCCAUCCAUACGAUUCUUGAGCUUCAACAAGAACUUCUCAUUGUCCUCUUCAGCAAUUUUUAUCAACCGCUCCACUAAAUUCUUCUUGUCCUGAAGCCCAAGGCUAUGUAUAUCAACUUCAAUGGCCUCACCCUCUGAUCCCAGCAGCAAGCCUUUCCUCAACCGAUUGUAGGUGGGGAGUUUCUCGAGUGCGGCCCAUUUCAAAGCUUCCUCAUCAUCUUCACCCCUCGUAGAUUGGGAGAAAAUCUCGACGUCAGGGGUCCUCCAUCUCAUAGAACCAGCUCUACGAGUUUCAGGAGUCGACAUUGCAAACAGAAAGGAAGAACUCUCCUGCAAAACCAAUAAGAACCCGCCAAAACCCGAACUGUUGAAAUUAUAAUGCGAGGUAAAGUCAAACUAAAAGAAUUUUAGGAAUUUGAUAAAUAUUAAAAAUUAUUAUUUAUUUAGAUUUAUAUGUUAAUUAAGACUUUUGGUAUAAUAGCAAUUGGAGUCUAGAAUAUAAACUCCUUUUUCUCGCUCUUAGUACAAUGUUAUGUCUUGUUGUAUUGCUGCUACUGCAUUGUAAAAAUCAUAUAGAAUGGAAGGUUUAUAUAGUGAUUGGUAGGACAGAAAAUGAAGUGGUUCAAAAGAUUUGAAACUGGUUUAUUUUCUUGUGAUUCUUUAAGUUAUGUUUGGUUUCUAAAAAAGUACUAAGGAAAGAAAAAAAAUGUUAAAAAAAAAAAUGGUUUUCUCAUGUUUAGUUUCAUAAUGAAAAAAUACAAAAGAAAAUAAAAUAUAAUUAAAAUUUGUUAAAAUUUUAUAUAUUUUUAAAUUAUUUAAUCUUUAUAUAAUAGACGAAAAUAAGUAAAAUAACUUUGAAGAAAUAUAUUAAGGUUAUGUUUGGUUCUCGGAAAGUACCAAGGAAAGAAAAAAAAAUGUAACAGAAAAUGGUUUUCUCAUGUUUGGUUUCAAUAUAAUUUUUUAAAAAAAAUUAAAUAUAAUUAAAAUUAGUUAAAAAUUUAUAUAUUUUAAAAUUAUUUAAUUUUUAUAUAAUGAAUGAAAUGAAGUGAAAUGAGUUUGAUGAAACAUAUAAAAAUAAUUUAUUAAUUUAAAAUUUUUUUUUUUCAUUUUUUCUUUCCUUCUACUUUUCCUCUUUAUUUAUUUCUCUCACAUUUUCUCUCAAAUUUUAUGAAAACCAAACAAAGCCUAAAGUAAUUUAUUAAAUUUAAAUCUAUUUUAAUUUUCUUCAUAUUUUUCUUUCUUUCUACUUUUCCUCUUUAAUUUUUUUCCUUCACAUUUUUUUCUCAUAUUUUCCAGGAACCAAACAUAGCCUAGAAAAUUGGUGAGGGAAAUCGACUAUAAAAAAGUUUGCACAACGACUCCAUAAUAAUGUACACAUGCCACCAUUUUUUUUUCCCUUCAACUUCCUAUAUUAAGACUUUCACGGUUCAUAAUUUUUGGUUUCUUACACUUUCUUUAGCAAGUAAAUAGAAAUGUGAAUGAUCGAAUGUUUUGUUAGUUUUUAAAAUAAGAAGAAAUAUAAUACUUAAUUUUAUACAUGUUUUCCGGCAUGUUUGGUAUGUGAGAUAUGAUAGGAUAGAGUAUCUAUAUUCUAUAAUAUCAAAUUCCAUUAAAUGAAAAAUGCAUAUUUUAAAAUAUAAUUUUCAAUGAGAUAUGAUAUAUUUUUUAUAUUAAAUUCAAUCGAUAUGAUAUUGUAAGAUGACAUAUCCAAUGCAUUUCCUAAAAUAAAUUAUUUCCAUAUAUUUUUUAAGAUUAUUAAAUCCAAUGGAUAUAAUAUUAUAAGGUAACAUAUAUAAUGAGAUAGGUAAUGUAACAUUAUGCUUAUAUUUAAUUUGUAAAAUUAAUAAAAAAUAAAAUGGAAUAUAUAUUAUUUUAUAAUAUAUUUUGUAAAUGUUUUUUUAGUUCUUCUAUUUUAACCAUAAAUUUAACUUUAUAAUAAAAAAAUUAUUUUACUAAAUAAGUGAUAAAAUAAAAUAAAAAAUAAUAAAAGAAAAUUAAAUUUAUGAUACAUAAAAUAAUAUAUCUCACUACUUAUCCUAGAAGGAAUAUAAAAAAGCUAUAGAUAAUAUAUUUCACUACUUAUUCUACCAUGUGUUACAUCCAUCCAACCAAACCAUGACCUUACGGAUAUAAAAAAAUUUAACGUUUAAUAGCAUCCACAUUAAUGAAAACAAACAAUUUACUAAUAUAAACUAAACAAUCAAACACUCAAAUGAUAUUUCGCUCUAUUUAGACUAAUGAAAAAUAAACAAUUUAAAUAUUUAAUAACAUUCCACUUUAUUAAGCUUUAAGCUUAGAAUCUUAAAAAAAAAAAAAAAAAAAUACUUUAAAAAUAUUUUUUAGAGUUGUUUCAAAGGAAUGGGAUUAUUUGUUUUUUUUUUCUCAUUUAUGUCAUAAAGCAAAUUAUUUUAAAACUUAAAAUCAAAAUAUAAAAAUUUAUUUUUUAUAUUAAGAUAAAAUUGUCUUAUAAAAAGUAACAAGUUAAAAAACAAAUAAUUUUUAAAAUGACUUAAGUCUUAACACUAUUAAGUAUUAUUUAGAUGUAAGGUUUAUUUAAUUUUAUUUUUUUUUCAAAAAAGCACCACCUUUCAAAUAAGAUUUAAGCAGGUUUAACCUAUUCAAAAUUGCUUGAAAUUUAAGAGGUUAUUUGUUUUUUAAAGUUAAAUCUUAAAGCUAGUUGCUUUAAAAUUUAAGAUAAAAGUAAAUAAAAUAAAAUGAAAACUUUUGUUAUUAAGACAAAAUUUUCUUUUAAAAAUGAUAAACUAAAAAAAUAAUUUGAAAAAUGACUUCCAUCUUAAAGCAACUCUUUUUAUUAGGAUUGUAUCUCUAUCCUAAUUAAAAUUAACAAUCAACUUGAUUUUGAGUAAGAUUAUAUCAAUGUUAACCAACAUUAUUUUCUAAUAAAAGUAUUUGCGAAAACAUAAACACAUUUAUGCUUCAAUAAAUGGAAUACAUUUUUUUAGUAAUAUAACCAUAUUUUAAUUUUGAAAAAAAACAUAUUAGUCUAAUCAUCAAUAUUCAUAAUUGAUAAUAUCAUACAUUAAAAAUUAUUAAUGGUGAAUAACUGAUAUAUAUAUGGAUUAUUAAAGCAACUAUGACCAUACAACCUAUGGAACUUGGUGUAAACUUUUUUGUGGACCUGUAUUUUCUUUGCUUAUUAAAAAAUAAAUUAUUAAAGCAAUAAUGAGCAUAGAAAUUAAUUAAAACAAUAACUAUCACUCAAAUGAAGUAUUAGGCUCUAUUGAUAAUUGUUUUUAAAAACAAUUUUUAGUCUCCAGAAUAAAAAUUAAAAAUUAAAAAUUAAAAAAUAAAAAAACAAGAAAACAAGUUUGAUAAUAGAAAACAAAAACAUUGUAUUUUCAAUUCUUUAAUUGUUUUCACUUUUUUUAAAGGAUUAUUUUUAAAAAAGUCAUACAAAUACGAAGAAUGAUUAAAAAUAAAACACUGUAUAUAAAAAUUAUUUUUAAAAUAUAAGAAACAAGUUAAAAAUAUUUUAGAUUUUUAAAUAGGCUUUUGUUUUAUAAAAAAUCAAACAACAAUUUUCAAAAAUUAUUUUUAAAAAUUGUUUUCAAAAAAACACUUUUCAAAUAGAACCCUAUCCUACCAACUAUAUAUAUACACACACACAAUGCUAAUGAUAUUUAAAAGAAAAACAGUCACAUGAAAAAGGUAAUAAUAUUAGAGACUACAGAAGAACUUACUAUCAGAAAAACAUUGUCAAUAAUACAUGGGAUGAGAAUGAUUUCAUACAGCUACUGAGAUUGUCCUCAAAGUUGUUCUUAAAAAACAAAAAUACUAUAAAUGGUUGGAUCCAACCUUUCAAGGAAACCAAAGCCCUGUUCUUUUUUUCUUUUUUUGAUAAAGAGAUUUUCAUUUUUUUCCUUCUAAAAGGAACAUUCUAUAUAUAGAAUCUAAAGGUAUCAAACUGUGCCUCCAAGUAGUUUGACUGUAAAGUACAAUUCAAUCCAAUGUGUUGAUUGUUCUUUUGGUUUGCUAAUUGAUCAGGCAAUCAAUCUUUCCUCAUGUGGUUUCCAUAUUAUCAUUUUUUCAUCUUUUUCCACAUCAUUUUUAUCCUUUUCCAUAAAUAAAAAAAAUAUUUAGAUAAAUUAUUUCAUUAGCAAUUUGUUGAAGACUUGAAAAUAAAUUAAAUAAGAGAAAUAUUCACAAAUUUUUUACUUAAUUAUUCAUGAUGACAUUAAUAAUGAGAGUAACGUAUAACCAAAUAAGACUAAGAUAGGAAAAAAUGAGACAAAAGAAUUUGUCUCUAAAAGGUAUGAAAAAAUGAGAAUCAAAUAUGAAUUAAGGAGAUAUAGGUAUAAACUUAAUAAGAAAAAUGUUAAUUAUGCUUAAAUCUAUGAAUUUAAGAAAAUCUAAAAUUUUGGCCAUAAUUAUUCAUGAUCACAUCAAAUUUAUAUAUAGGAAUGGUUGAAAAUAAUGAGAGCAAUGCAUAACCAAAUGGUACUAAGAUGGGAAAUAAUGAGACCAAAGAAUUUGUCUUUAAAAGGUAUGAAAAAAUGAGAUUCAAAUACCAAUUAACUAGAUAUAGGUAUAAACUUAAUAGAAGAAAUAUUAAAUACGCUUAAGGUUAUGUUUGGUUUCAAGAAAAUAUUAAGAAAAUAAAAAAAAUAAAGGAAAAUGAUUUUCUCAUAUUUGAUUGUCUUAUGAAAAAUAUAAAAGAAGGUCAAGUAUAAUUAAAAUUAAUUAGAAACUUACGUAUUUUUAAAUUAUUUAAUCUUUAUAUCAAUUAAUUAAAUUAAACAAAAUGAGUUUGAAGUAAUAAAUAAAAAUAAUUUAUCAAAUUUUAAUCUAUUUUUUAUUUUUCUUUACAUUUUCCCACAAAUUUUCGUGGAACCAAACAUAGCAUAAAUGUAUGAAUUUAGGAAAAUCUAAAAUUUUGGCCAUAAUUUUUCAUAAUUACAUCAAAUAUAUAUAGGAAUGGUUGAAAAUAAUGAGAGCAAUGUGUAACCAAAUGAUAUUAAGAAAAUAAUGAAACCAAAGAAUUUGUCUCUAAAAGGUACGGAAAAUGAGAGUCAAAUAUGAAUUAAUGAGAUACAAGUAUAAAUUUAAUAAGAGAAAUACUAAUAAUGCUUAAAUAUGUGAAUUUAAGAAAUUCUAAAAUUUUGACCAUAAUUAUUCUCACAUCAAAUAUAUAUAUAUAUAUAUAUAUAUAUGAAUGGUUGUAAAUAAUGAAAUCAAUGUGUAACCAAAUGGGACUAAGAAAAAUAAUGAAACCAAAAAAUUUGUCUCUAAACAGUACCAAGAAAUGAGAAUCAAAUAUGAAUUAAUCAAAUAUAGGUAAAUUUAGUUAGAGAAAUAUUAACAAUGCUUAAAGAUAUGAAUUUAAAAAAAUCUAAAAUUUUAACCAUAAUUAUUCAUGAUUACAUUAAAUAUAUAUAGGAAGGGUUCAAAAUAAUGAGAGCAAUGUAUAAGCAAACGGGACUAAGAAAAUAAUGAAACCAAAAAAUUUGUCUCUAAAAGGUAUGAAAAAAUGAGAGUAAAAUAUGAAUUAAUGAAAUAUAGGGAUAAAUUUAACAAGAGAAAUAUUAAUAAUGCUUAAAUAUAUGAAUUUAAGAAAAUCUAAAAUUUUUAUAAUAAUUAUUCAUAAUCACAUCAAAUAUAUAUAGUGAUGGGUGAAAAUAAUGAGAUCAAUGUAUAACUAAUAGAGACUAAGAUAGAAAAUAAUAAAACUAAAAAAAUUCUCUAAAAUGUAUGAAAAAAUGAGAGUUAAAUAUGAAUUAACAUAUAUAUAAAUUUAAUUAGAAAAAUAUUGACAAUCUUAAGUAUAUGAAUUUAAGAAAAUCUAAAAUUUUGGCCAUAAUUAUUCAUGAUCACAUCAAAAAUAUAUAGGAACAAUUGAAAAUAAUGAAAGGUAUAAUCAAAUGAGACUAAGAUAGAAAAUAAUGAAACCAAAGAAUUUGUCUUUAAAAGUUACAAAAGAAAUUAAAAAAAAAAAAUCAGAGUCAAAUGUGAAUUAAUGAGAUGUUGGUAUAAAUUUAAUAAGAGAAAUAUUAAUAAUGCUUAAGCAUAUGAAUUUAAGAAAAUCUAAAAUUUUGGUCAUAAUUAUUCAUUAUCACAUCAAAAUAGGACGCUUGAAAAUAAUGAGAGCAAGGUAUAAUAAUACGAGACUAUGAUUAUCAAACUACUUCAAAAUCAAAAUCCUUAAUAGAAUCAAAUCAUCAAGAUGAUGUUAAUUAGUCUUUUUCAAAACAUUGAAGAAAAUCUAAGCCAAAGUUCCAAUGACCAAGAAAUAUGCAUAAAAGAUAGUUGCCCGCCAAAGACCUUAAAUGUAAUCACUAAGGAAUAAGAAUUAAUUUUAGAAUUAUUUAUUAAGGUUCAAGAUUCUUCAAUAAAAACAUAAUUAUGUGAAAUUUGUAAGAAAUCGAUUUCUAAACUAGAAAUGAAAAAAAAAAACUAUAAAACCUUAUAACUUCUAUGAAAUCUUGACAAGAUUUAACUAUAAUUCCCUAAAAAAGUGAUUAUUAAAGAUCUUCAAAAGGAAAUAAGAUGAUGUUAGAAGUUAGAGAAUUAAGACAAUACACCAACAUAUGUUUAACAAACCUUCAAGAACAAAUUAAUUAGAUAGUAAGUAAUAAGAAUUAAUAUAUCCUAAAAUCCUUAUAAGUUAAUGAAGAUUUAUCACACUUAUAUCUCAAUGUUAUAAAUAGGGUCAUCUUUAAAAAAUGCAGUGUUUCCCUAACAAUUGUGAUUAACAAUGAGUUCAUCGCUAAGAUUAAUUGUUGUCUUAAUAGAUUCAAGAGUAGCUUCUUUAUGGCAUGCUAAUAGGUCAAACUUAAGAUUAGCUACAAAUUGUCUAAGGCUCAUGUCAAUAAUCAAGGGAUGCACACAACAUUUAAUUUGGUAUAAGAUUUAAGAGAAGAAAUAUUCUUGGAAUACCCUAUUUAGUUGUCUACCCUAUCACUAGAGUAGAUGGUCAAGGUAUAAGACUAAACUCUUAAAUCAAGAGACUCCUUUUGAAUUUGCAUAUCCUCUAAAAAGAAACCUAAAUAAAUUAAGAUCUUUGAUUAUUUCUAUAAAAAAAAUACAUUUUUUUUAGUUCAAGAAGUUAGAUCUAAGAGAAUUGAAGAACAAUUGGAAGUUAAAAAGACUCAAGAUGCUAUCCAAUAAUUCAAAGAAAAGUUGGUUAGAGAAGCCCAUCCUAAAUUCCCUAAUGUAUUUUGGCAUAGGGAUGAACAUGUUAUAGAACUACCUUACAACCUAGAAUUUAGGGAAAAUAAUAUUCCCACUAAGGCAAGACCAAUUCAAAUUAUUCAAAAACCAUUGAGAUAUUAUGAAAAGGAAAUUUAAGAACUCUUUGAUAAAAAAUUAAUAAAGAAUCUAAAUCUCCUUGAAGUUGUGUAUGCGCAAAUUUCAUGAAGUCUUGCAAAACAACCAAAAACUAUAGGAAAAAUAUAUGUGAUCAAAACUUUAUAUUAAAAUUAAUUGAUUGUGCGGUAUAGACUCAAAUAUAAUAUUCUUUACAAAAGAAUAUUUUCCAUUUGAUUCAUUCACUUUGAUUACAAUCCCAAAGAUGAUGACAAGAGUCUUUUCUUGAUUUUAGAAAAUCAAUCCAAGGCCUAGAGUGGUUUUUUCUUGAAUGAACUUAUUAAAUGGUGAAAAACACGUAUAUGCUUUUAUUGUAUAAAAGUAUAAAACACUUUCACAUUUAAUUUUAAAAUAAUUAUAUAAUGUAAUUAAAAAUAAUAAUACAAAUUAAUUAAUAUAAUAAUUUCAAAAUAAUAAAAUACUAAAGACAUGCAAAUAAAAUUAAAUAUUAUAAUUUUAUUUUCAUUUUAUAUAUAUCCUUAUAUUUAAAUAUUAUAAAUGGUCUAUUUAAUCGAAUUUAAAAUAUUAAUAUAUUUAUAUUUCUCUUCAUCAUUUAAUUUGAUAUGUCAAAUAUAAAAAUGAAAUAUUAUUAAAAAUUUUAAUUAUAUAUAAUUUUAAUUUCUUAUAAUUAUUCAAAAUUUUAUAUAAUAUAUAAAUUAUUAUUUAUGAUGUCACCAAGUCGACCAAGGUCCGACCAGUGAACCAUGAAUUGGUAACUUUUUCGGUUCAAUCAUCAAUCCAAUUCUGAAAACAUUGAUCAUAUGACUUGAGAGUACAAAUAUUCAUGGCCCCACAAUUGAUUUUUUUUAUUAUUAUUUUAACCAUGAAAUGUGGGCCCCCAUGUUGUUCUUAAAUCUUAAAUAUCAAAUAAAAUGAUGAAAUAUUUUUAAAAUUUUAAUUAUUUAUAUAUAUUUUUUCACUUAUUAUAAUAAAUUUUAAUUUUCAACCGCAAUUCAACAACUGGUUCAACCAUUGAAUUAUGAAUCAAUAACUAUUUCGAUUCAACAACCAAUCCAAUUUUGAAAGCAUUGGUAAAUAUAGGCAUAAAACUAUUGGAAAUAACUCCCGACUUUCCAAGGAAGGCCUAAACUUCCCUUCUUGCUUCCUGAAUUCUAAAUUUAAUAGCAUUGUAAACGCUGCAGAUUAAAAACACAGGUCUAGUUUUUUAUAGUUUCUAAAUUUUCAUCCUAUUAUCAUGUCUUUAUGUCUUUGGUACUUAGAGCAGAGAUUGAAAGUGGAGGCCCAUACUGUUAAGUUGGUAACCAAGGAUGAAAGAAUAGCUCAAGGUUCUAUUACUGUCUGGAAUUUCAAAUUACAUAAAAUUGGGACGACAAAGAAAUUAAAGAAUUUAAUAUCCUAACAUCCUACGUACACAAAGAACAAAACCUUUUUUUCAUCUUACAAUCAAAUGUUGAACUGAAAGGUUACAUACAUAAAAUAACCAACCAUCCUUGAAGAACUUGUGCUCGGAAUGACUUCUUAUCGCCUUUGGAAGUUAAAUGCCUUAAUGGCGUAGGCAAAGAUGAAUAAGAACAGCACCACAAACCCAACAACCACAGCUGCAACCACUCCCAGGAAAUCAUGUUUGAAUCCAAAAUAAUCAUCCAAGAAUUGUUCCACCGUUUGAUUUUUGUCAAGUAGUGUGUCCUGUAUAUCUCCAAACUGUGAUGUAACCAAUCCAUACAAAGUCCAUGCAACUGGACAUAUCCAAUAGUACCAUCUCCACCACACCGGAAUUCUCUGUAUUCAUCAAGGAAGAAAUGCAACAAUAUGAGUCAUUUCUAUAUCCAUGUGGCAAGGAAAGUUGCAAUUUAAAGAAUCACAGGUUGAGAGCACUUACGUUUCGUGGGACUAUGAAACCUGAAAAGAGGUUCCAUAAUCCAUAAAAUGCCGCAGCAACGAUGGAAGCAAUAUGUUGAUUUGGCGUGGCAGCCACAGCCAUCAUGCCAUAGAAGGUGAAGUACAACAAAGUGAAGAACAUGAAGAACAGAUACCAGAAGAAUUUAGCGGCAGUCCAUUCAAAUCCAAUCAUUGCAUAAACUAUAACACCAUACACAACAGCUUGUGCAAAGACAUAUGGGAUCUCAACUAGAGCCUGCAACAAGAGAAGAAAUUUGAUUAUUAAAAUGCAAAACAUAUUAUACAUAUACAAAGUCUAUAGUGUAAGAAAACUAGUUACCUGUCCAAAGGCAUAUGGCAGGGCUGAAUACAUUCCUGCAGCUCUUUCUCUGUAAAAGACUGUUCGUUCAACUACAACAACUGGCUGGACCGAUUGGGCGUUCUGAACCCCAAGGAAGAGAACAGCAGCAUACAUAGAACCCAUUGCGUUUAACAGAUCUUGUUGCCUUGUCCUGCAAUUUACCACGUCAAGUAUAAAUUAAAGUUGAUAUAGAGAAACAUACUGAGUUCUCAAAUUUUUUAACCGACAUCAAAUUACCUUUCGGUGCCCAGAUCCCAGAACAUUGUCCCAAACAUCAAGGCUAUGAAAGUUGUGAAGAGAAAUCUCACUGCCGUGUAUGGUGGGUUGCGCCAGUAUGACCAACGUUGUUUCCAUAAGCAUGCCAAAAAUUGGGUGAAGAAGGGUUGGGAGUAUUGAGUAGCGAAAUAGAGGUCUUUUGUACCAGGGGCAGGUUGGCUCAGUUCUUUAAUUAAAUCUUUGUUUCUCCUGAAACAUAUGCCACUUGUUAGAACAGGUUUCAACUACAAAUUUAAGCUUUUCAUGAGAAACAUUAGGAUGGAUGUAUAUGACUUUUCAAUCUUAUAAUGCAAUUAGAUAACAUAUGGUUGAAUCACCUGUAUAGGUCUGAAUUCUUGUAUAUUUCAGUGAAAUCGACCCCCAAAGUUCCUUCUUGUGCUCCGGUGGUAACUUCCAGCAUCCAGGUUGCAGGGUUAUAACCAUCUUUGAUUUUACUGACUCCUUCAAUUCCCUUUAUGAAAGCAAGUGAUAUGUAUUAGUAAGUGCUUAAUAUGAAUUAACUCAAACUGAAGUAUUUACUUCUUAUAGCUUUUACUUUAUCAUGGCUGCUUACCUCAAAAUAAUUUAUUAGAUGGGAAGAAUGUCUACCCAGUGGUCCCACAUAUAUCUCUUGCCCUCCACGCUUCAUCAGGAGCAACUGCAAAUCCAUUUUAAAUAUUUCAGUACUUGUAUGCGAAGAGCAUAGAAGAGAAACUAUAAAUUCUUUCUAUCCCUUAACAUUUCCUACCUCAUCAAAGGCUUCAAAUAUGUCAAUACUUGGCUGAUGGAUGGUGCACACAACUGUCCUUCCUGUGUCCACAGUGUUUCUGACUGUUCUCAUAACAAUUGCAGCAGCUCUUGCAUCUAGCCCUGAAGUUGGCUCAUCCAUGAAUAUUAUUGAGGGAUUUGCCACAAGCUCAACUGCAAUAGUCAGCCUCUUGCGCUGCUCGGUUGAGAGACCAUUUACACCUGGCAACCCAACCAGUGCAUCCCUCAAUGGGGUCAGUUCCACAAGCUCCAUGACUUCCUCAAUGAACAUCUGUAACCAUUAGCAAUGAUUAUGAAUUGUUUAAAAAACGUUGCAAACCAUAGUAGAGAUGGUAAAAAAUUUGACACUGCUUGUGACUCCUGUUAGCAGGUUGUGAAGAGGUUUCCCUAGUCUUACUAAAUGGAUCGGUUAAUAGAUGCAAAUGCUCAAAAACACUCAUUAGCUUGCAUGAACUUCACCCAAUUGGAUUAAAAGUCAAUGAAACUUGAACCAGCACUUUUUCCCAGGUGAAGGUCAAUCCAAACUUGAACCUGACCUUACCUCAACCAAGUAUGAAAAGUCAAUUCUAGGGCUUUGCUUGUUUAGAGCACUAAAUUGAAC
rnacentral:lncRNA from 1 species